CCAUACCCAUUUUUCAGAAUUGAAUUCAUCAUGAUAACUCAAUAUUCAACCAUGGAAAUCAAGAACAAAAGCAUGGGUAAGCUAGGUAUCAAUGAGAAUUAAAGAAAUUCUAACUUACCUAGUUUGUUUCCUUGAUUUCUUCACUUUUUCUUUGAAUUUCCACCUAGAUUUUCUUGUUUUUCCCUUUGUUCUUCCUUUGUUCUUGUUGCUGGUUGCCUAGGCUGAAUAUGGUGAGAGAAUUGGGGAUUUAAUGGGCUGAUUUCUAUAGAAAAUAAUAAAAUAAUCAAGCUUGCCAUGUGUCACAUGCUUAUUGGCCCAUUUUUUUUAACUUUUUGACUUUUUCUUCUAAAUUUUCCACCACAAAUAUUCUGGUAUUUAUCCAAUCCUACCACAAUUAAAAUCCCUUGGUCUUGACAAGUACUGGGGUGAAAAAUUUACCGAUUUGCCCACGAGAUAAAAAAAUUACGAUUUUACCCCUAUACUCCGAAAUGUACCGAAAUCACAUCAUUUCUACUUUUCAACCUCAAAUAACACUAAUAUUGAUCAAUAUUAACCAAAUGGGGCAAAAAUCGUUUUAUAAAAAUUCUCAUUUAGUCCUCUAGUGGCAAAAUUACCAUUUUGCUCUUGUGCUCCAAAAAUACCGAGAAUUACAAUUUUUCACUACUAAACAUCAUUUUAUACUCCAAUAAUCAUAAUUAUAUUUCAUAUAAUUAUUCUUGGUCAAGUGUGAUCAAAUCUUGGCUAAAAAUCUCCACUUUAUCAUCAAAUGGUAAAAUGACCGUUUUGUCCCUAAUCGGUCAAGUUUCCUGAUUGACUCCACACUGGACCUUGAACUCCGAAUCACUAUUCUAAGCCAUUCUGUGGGUUUUAGAAUUUUCAAAUUCCUCUUAGAAUUUCUAUUUGAACUAGUUCAAGGCUCGAUUUAACUUAGUUGUACCACUCGGUACAAUACCGUCUUUUAAUCGAGCUUGACAGGGUCUCACAUAUAAAUAUGCCUCCUUUAUUUAAUGGAUCAAACUAUCCUUAUUGGAAUACUAGAAUGUCCAUUUAUGUUAGAACUUAUGACUAUGAGAUGUAGGAUGUUUUUACCGAUGGUCCUUUCAUUCCUAUGAUUACUAAUUCGGUCAAUGGUGAGAAAACUCCCAAAGAUAGAAGUAAGUGGACUGAAGCUGAAAUGAGGAGAGUACAAAUCAACUCUAAGGCCAUGCACACUCUCAUUUGUGCACUUAAUUAUAGAGAAUAUGAUAAAGUGUUCAUGUCUAAAAGUGCCACGAAAAUUUGACAAAAAUUAGAAGAGUUAUAUGGAGAAACAAAGAUGCAAAAGGAAUUGGAAGACAACUCUUGUGAGAAUCAAUGCUUAACAAGCAACAUGGAAAAUGCAGACAAGGAAUCAAGUGAAGAUAAAUCCUCAAAUCAAAUUGAAUUAUGCCUCAUGGCUCUUGAAGAGAUAAACGUAACUUCUUCAUCUUGUGAACUUAAUUCAUAUGCUUUUGAUGAAUUUCAUGAUGCUUUUGAGGAUUUAGCAUUUGAGUUUGAGAAAAUGAAUAUGAAGAACAAGAAAAUUAUUUUCAUACUGAAUGUUGAAAAUGGAUUUUUGAUGAAAACAAAAAUUGACUUGGAAAAAGAAAAAGAAAAUUUGGAAAAGGAUUUUAAAGCUUACCAAAAGGAAAUUGAUAUUUUGGAAAAAAGAAAUUUUGAUAUGAAAAUAAAAUUUGAAGAUUUAUUGAAUGAGAAACAAAAGGCUUCCAUGAAUUCCUCAUCUUCCAAAAUGACCAAAUACAAUCAUUACAUAUUUUAUAGUUAUUGUUCAUACACUUGUUCAAUUAAAAAAUGUGUGCCUUACAAAUUUAGACAAGUGUGGAUUCCAAAAGGAACUUUAUGCAACGAGAUUAACUUUCAAGGAUCCAAAGCAAUUUGGAUACCAAAGAUUAAAUGAAAAAUAUCUCUUAUAGGUGUGCUAGAGCAAGGAGGAACAAUUCUUGAAGAAUGGAUGCUCUCUAGUCACAUAUAGAGGAAAAUGGUGAUUUCUAUGCUCAAUUUUUAAUGAGAAUCUUGAUUGCUUAUUUAUUGAAUGUUUCAUUCAUUUGGCUGAGUUUCUAAAAUUGUUUGCUUUUCUACAUUGAAAAUUUUAGUUGCCUAUUCUUGCUUGAAUAUUAAGUGCAUAAUUCUUUGAGCUUUAUUGAUCAAUCUUGGCUACGCAACUUUAUUUGAUAUGAUACAUGCUAGAAGUUGCAAGUAAGUAUGAAUUUAAAGAUUGAGUAUGUACCUAUAUUUGAUCUUGAAUAUAUCAUCAUCCUUAUUUUGAGAAAAUUGUUUUAUUAAGAUUGCUUGAUUAUGGAAAAUUGUUUCUAUCAAAUUUCCUCAUGAUUUGUGGAAUUGUUUCCAUACUACUUCUGUGAGGAAAAAUAAUUUUUGAGCAUAAUUUUGAAACAUAAAAGGUUGGAUAAUGUGAUAGAAAUAUGAGCAUACUUGAUGACUUACACUAACAACUAUUCAAGUAGCCUAAAACAAGGAAAAUUGAGUUAAAAAAAAAUUGUCCUUGAUUUCCUUGUGUCUAGCAUAUGUUGACCAUUUGAACAAUCUUGAUCUAAAUUCUAGAACUUCUUUGAAUAGUUCAAGAUGGUUGAUAAUGAGCUUGAAAGUUUUGACCACUUGAAUUAGUACUUUUAAAGCAAAAUGAGCUUAUAUGAGAAAAAUAUUGCCAUAUUUUAAGUUUAGAAUGAUUUAUGAAUUGAACAAGUUUGUUUCAUAAUGAAAAAUACUUAUGACUUGUUCUUAUUGGAUGUGCAUGCUUGCUUGUAAACUUGAAUGGUCAUAAGGGCAUUUUUGGAACAUAAUUGUGAGAUAUUUGCAAAUGACCCUUGACAUGCAUAUACAUUAUUCAUUAUGCCCAUUACAUAUUUCAUAAAUCAUUGAGAGCAUAAUGAAACAAAAUUGAGUGAUAUUGAGCUCAUGAUUUUUCACAAAGCAAGUCUAAUCUUGAAUGUUUCAAGUUAAAAAGUUUGUAAAGAAAGAUUAAAUCUUUAUCAAUUGAUUUUCUUGUGAAAUCUUUUUAUUCACUUUGAUUGAAAUUGAUUCAUUGUUUUUGGUGAUAUAGCAUGGUUGAGCAAAACUGAUUUGAUACAUGAAUUGCAUAAAUCCGAUUUUGCUUGGUAUUUCUCUCAUGAUUGGUGAAAUUGAUUGAAAGGGAUUUCUUAAGCAUGAUCUUAAAUGUGAUAAUUUGGAAUUAAUGGCAUUUUUGAAGCAAAAGAACAUAUCUAUUUACAAUGUUUGACAUCCUUGAGAUUACAAUGAUUUCAAUGAUAUAUAACUUGAACAAGUAUACCAUGUGUUGAAAAUGCCAUUAUAUCUUGUUCUUGUUGCAAAUGAUUGCUUGAAUAACCUUAAGGGCAUUUUUGUCCAUACAUUGAAAAAUUGUUGAAAAUGCUAAAUUUGAUGCUUAUUAUGCUUAAACAUUGUUUAAAUGCUUGUUGUACAUGUUAUAAGUUAUAGUCACGCAUCAUGAUGUAAAUUGAAUAUGUUUGAGCAUAUUAGAGACAUGAUUCUUCAAUGAGCAUUUCAACUUUUUAACACUUGUGAAUAAUAAGCAAUAAAGGCUAAAAUUUGAGUUCACAUGUUUUUCUUGAAGAAUCUUUGAUCAUACAUGUCCAAAAUAAUGUUCCAAACAUUGUUGAAAUGAAAUUCUAAAUUGUUCUCACACAAAUUCAUGUUUUGAGAUCAUUAUACCUUGGCAUAUUGCAUGUUUUGCACCUUUUUCUAGCUUUUCAAUGUGUAGGAAUCCAGCAUAAUUGACUCCUUAGCCUAGCUAGUCGACUAUUGAAGAACAAAAUGCAAAUGCUGCUAGAAUGAUAAAAAGUGGGCCCAAGGGAUAAGUAAUCGACUCUUGAGUGCCUUAAAGCCAAAAUGGACAGGUUUUGUGUUCCAAAAUAUCUUUUUACUUUACUUCUUGUCCAUUACAAUAUUUUCUUCUUUGAAUUUCCUUUUCAAAGAUGAUUCUUGACUCUUAAAAACAUGCAUUAUGAAUACUUUCAUGAUCAUUUGGUGCAAGUACAUGUUCCUAAAAUUGCAAAACUUGCUGAAAAAUGGGAAAUCCUUUUUAAUGACAUAAUCUAUCUAUUCCCGAGCAUGACACUCAUAUUGAUUCCAUAAAUUCUCAUGUAUUUACAACGACAAAAUAGAAAUAUGAGAAAUUGUUCAUCAAUCCUUGAAUUUGUUAAUCCGAUUGGAUUUUCAUGUGUAUAUAUAGAAAAUAUCUUCUCAUGAAAAUUGAAAUGUUCAAAUGCUAGUCUAGGAGCAAUUCUUGAAAUAUAUUUUACGUUUGUGCUUAAAUGAUUGUUUCAAAAUUGAUUUCUUGAUUAUGCACACUUAUUCGAUUAAGAUGAACUCACUGAACUUAAUGAAAAUAUUCUUGGUUCAUUUACUAUAUUGGUCAAGACACAUGCUUAUAUGAUUUUUCUUUAUGCUUGACCUUAAGGUUUGAAGUCUAAAACUUGACUUGAGCUAUGCAUUUGAACAUGAAUGUAAUUGUCAUUGAUUAUGAGGAAACUUUCUUGCCUGUCAACAUGAUUAAAUCCAUUCAAAUUCAACUUGCUAUUAUUGCAUAUCAUGAUUAUGAGAUAUGACAGAUGGAUGUAAAGAUAGCAUUCAUUAAUGGGUCCAAGGAGAAUCAACAUAAAGUAUGCAAACUUUGAAAGUCCAUUUAUGGCCUAAAACAAGCGUCUAAGAGUUGGAACAUUAGAUUUAAUGAAACUAUUAAAGAAUAUGGUUUCGUCAAGAAUCUUGAUGAUCCAUGUGUUUACAAUAAGGUGAAUGGACAAGCAGUUGUAUUUUUAGUACUUUAUGUUGAUGUCAUACUACUAAUAGGAAAUGAUAUACUAAUGUUGCAAACUGUUAAGAUUUGGUUAUCCAAACAAUUCUUCAUGAAGGAUUUGGGAUAAUUAACCCAUAUUCUAGGCAAAAGGAUUUAUAGAGAUAGAUCAAAGAGAAUGCUAGGAUUGUCUCGAUUCACUUACAUAGACAAGGUGCUAAAUAGGUUUAGUAUUCCAAGAAGGGAUACUUGCCUACAUCUCAUGGCAUUCAUCUCUCAAAGGAUAUUUGUCCAAAGACACAAGAAGAGAGAAUGAGAAUGGAUAAAAUACCAUAUAAUUCGGCUAUUAGAUCCAUCAUGUAUGCCAUGUUAUGCACUAGACUAGAUGUGGCAUAUGCUCUGAGUGUUACAAGCAAAUACCAUUCGAAUCUAGGUGAGAAUCACUAGAUUGUUAUGAAAAAUAUCUUUAAGUACUUACAAAAAACUAAAGAUGUUUUCUUGGUCUAUGGAAGGGCUCAACUCCAAGUUAAAGGAUCUGGAGAUGUUACAUUCCAAUCCAAUAAGGAUGACAUCAAAUCGUAAAGUGGGUUUAUAUUUUCCAUAAAUGGUAGUGCAAUAAGCUGAAAAAGUUUCAAGCAAGCAAUGACUGUAGAUUCACAACUGAGGCUGAAUACAUCUCUAUGUCUACGGCAACGAAAGAGGGAAUUUGGAUCAAGAAAUUCAUAACUGAACUCGGCGUGGUUCUCAGCAUUGUUGAUCUUGUAACUUUGUACUAUGACAACAAUGGAGCCAUUGCACAAGCAAAGGAACUAGGGUCUCAUCAGCAAUUUAAACAUGUACUGCAGCAUUAUCACUUGAUCAGGGAGACCAUAGGGAAAGAUGAUAUUAAUAUAGAGAGAGUACCUACAGAGGACAACUUAGCUGACCCUCUCACUAAAGUUCGAUCCUAACAAAAACAUGAUUGCCACUUGGAGGGCUUUGGUAUUAUGGGCGAUAGGCUUUAAUGCUAGUGGGAGAUUUUUAGUGUAAGCCCUACAAGCCAAUCGGUUUUGUGCUUGUAAAACAAUAUAUUAAUUAGUCAUAUUUCAUGUUAAAUACUAUAGUACCUUGUAUUUUGAUACGGUAGCUAAUAAAGUUUAUAGAUGCCAAUUGAGGUUAAUUAUCGAGUUAAAAAGGGUAAUUCAGAAGUGAACCUGUGAAAUCUCGAUCUCCAUAUACACAUAACUAGAAGUAGACGCGAUAAUGCGGACUAGGGGUAAUUUCAUAAUUUUUCUUGGUGAGCUUCUACGAGUGGGUUUUUUUUUAUGUUAUUAAGGUCUGAAUAGGCCUAAGGAAUGAAUGAAUGAUGUUUAUGAUGGUAAAAUAAAUGAAGAAGAUAAAAAUAAUGAUAAUUUCUAUGAUAGGGGCAAAAUGGUCAUUUUACAUCUCGGGUCUAAAUUUUUAUGUUUUUGUGAACCCGAGUAUUUCUAGACUAUUAUGGACCUUGCCCCAGUGUCAAAAGAGUAAAAAGUUGCACAAAGGAUGAGAGGAAGACAAAGUCACCAUGUUAAGGGCAUUUUGGUAAUUUAUGUGAGAAAUGGAUAAACUUUAGAUAUAAAUAUCUAAAGCUCUAGCAAAUUUCCAGCAGCUUCCAGCAACUCUUCUUCUUCCUCCCCUCUCUUCUCUUCAUUUCAUGUUUUCUUCAUCUUCCAUGGAAGCCUCCCAUGGUAACCCUAAACCUUGUGUUUUUCUACACCUUUUCAUAGGGUUUUUCAUACUCUUUCUCUUCUACACCUCAAAAGCCCUUAAAGGUAUUUCCUUGGUAUAUUUUCUCACUAGCUGGACAAGUGGAGAGAGAGAGGGAGAUUGUCCACAAUAGCUUAGAAGCUUUUGAAAAGGAAUUCAACUACAAAAAAAAAAAAAACCACCAAGGUGAGUAAUGAAUUAGGUUUAAUUUUCAAGCUGUUGAUAAUGGUUGAUGAUUAGAGUGGUGAGUUAAUCUAUUGUUGAGAUUGUUAGUCAUUUUUAGAGUGACUAGAGUAGAGUAAAGAAAUAGCCACUUAAUGGUAAUUGGGAGCUAGUUAGUAAUAACUAGCUAAACUUGAAUUAAGAAAUAGCUUUUGAGAGUGUAUUAAUGCCAAUUUGAGUUGAUUAAGGUGCUAUAGUGUGUAUAGGUUCCAACAAGGCCUCACAUGUCCAUUUGAAGCAUUAGUUGAGGCUAGAGUCAAGCAAAAGAAUCAACAAGACUGGUGAGUGAACUUGCAUCAAAGUGUUUUUGGGAAAUACAUAUGUGUUGGGGUGAAGCAUUUAAAUGAUUUUACUUGGUUUUUCAUUAAAUUAUGCAUGGGAACAAGCCCUUAAUAAAAUGUUUUGAUGUUGUGAAAAUGUGAAAUGUGUAAAAAGAUGAAUCCAUGUUCUCCUAUAUUAUGUUGGUAUGUAUAUAUAUGAAUAUAUGUUGUGCAUUCACGAAUAAUGUUGUGUGAUAAUGAUGACCUAGCUAUAUGCGAUGUGGGAGUGCACAUGAGCUGAUGAUGACCCGGCUAUGUGCGAGUAGGGAGUACGCAUAAGCCGAUGAUGACCUGGCUAUGUGCGAGUAGGGAGUGGGCAUAAGCCGAUCAUGAUGACCCUACUAUGUGCGAGUAGGGAGUGCGUAUAAGCCGAUGAUGACCCGACUAUGUGCGAGUAGGGAGUGUGCAUAAGCCGAUGAUGAUGACCCGACUGUGACGAUGAAUGAAGUGGGGUGGUGUACGUGUUUAUAUAUGUUUAUAUAUGUAUAUGCGAUGAAAAGUUUAUGAUUAUAAUAUGCGAUUGAAAUGAAUAAUGAGAAACUUGAUUAUUGUCAAUGUGUUCGCUUUGAUGUGCAAUAUGGUAGGAAUGGAUUUUGUGGCAUGUGAAAACCCCGAAAUUGUCAUCUGCCCUGAAUCUUGCUACAGUGAGAAACUCUCGGGUGGUGGGGCAUAAACCAGCCCUGUUUCUUGCUGCAGCAAAAAAAAAAUUCUCGCUACAGUGAGGAAUUUCGCUGCAGCGAAAAUGGAUUCUUGCUGCAACGAGAAACUCUCUGAUAGACCAAAUUUUUGGUGCCAUACUUCCACUUUGAAAAUAAUUUUGACCACAUUCCAGUCAUAAAUGGGAAAAGUAAUCAACAUAAAAGUUGUAUAUCUUUCUCUUAGCUUUCUAAUAGUCAAAAUAUUAGGUUAAUUGGACUUCUGUAGUGGGAGAUAUACUAGAAAAACUGAAACAUAUGCAAACUGAGACUAUUUCUCGCUGCAGCGAGAAACUUGCUGCCAUGCUUACUACCUUGCUUGAUUUUGACAUAUUUUUCACCCAUUUAACUUCAUGGGUUGUUCAUGGGUUUUUUCAACACUAUGAGGUUAUUAAUCAAAGUUUGAAAUGAGGGGUUUUUAGUAAGAAAUUAAAUCAAUUGCAUUGUUUAUGAAACAAGUGCAUCAUGAUUUUCAAAUUCUUCCUAUCGAUUGCUUGUUCCCUUCUUAUGUUCACUUACUGAGUUUUAUACUCACGUUUUUAAACUUCAUGAUUUCAUAUUCAAAGACAGUUGAGACCUAGAUUGAGUGUCCACAUAUGCUCGUCCUCUUGGUAGAUACUAUGGCAUCUCAGUAGCUGUACCUUCACCCACGGUCACUCCGCUGAUGGUUAAGAGUCUGUUACCUGUGAAUGCGUAUAUGUAAUAUAAUCCUCUAGGAUCCAUGUUAUAAGUCAAAUGUGUAUAUUUGAUUACUGAUGCCACUAUGAGUUGGUAAAUGGGUGACAUUAUUUUAAUAUAAUAAAAUUGUAAGUAUUGGGUCACUAUAAAAUAUUACUGAAAUAUUUUAGUAGAGAAUUACAAUAUGUGGUUUUAGAAAUGAUGGUUGGGAAUGAUGAUCGGGAUUGCAUAAAAAGGCUUGCUAUGCCCCUGGAUUUGGGCUAUGACAAAUACAUUAUGGAUAUUUUAUAUAAUGUGUGAGGUAUUUCUUUAUCCAUGAGUUUAUUUAUAAAGAGUUAUGAGAGACUUAUGUAGAUUAAAUUCUUGGAGCAUAAUGGCCUUGCAAAGAAAUUACAAAGGUUAUAAUUAUAAGAUUCUUAUGCAUCAAAGCCAUGUUCUUAGUAUUCUUUUGUCAAGAAUAAGGGCAUUGACAAUGCUUAAAGACUGUUACAUGCUAAGGCUCCUUACUUUGGAAGUAAACAAUUGAUUUCAUAAGUUGAAGUACGUAAUAUACUUAAGGAUAGUAUGUGGGUGCUUGUUAAGGACCUAGUUCAUUGAGCAUGACCCACUAUGAGAGUUCUAUUUGGUAUUUUACUUAAGUGUCUAUGGAAAUACUCUCUUGUGUCAAUAGUGUAAGUAAUUCUUAGACAUGUAAUACUAGGUCAUCUUAUAUGUGAAUUGUCAUGCUUUGAUUUCACCCUUACAGGUCUAGAGGUAGCCAAAUGCCUAAAUAAGAUACUUUUGGGAAUAGCGUGAAGCAUGCGAAGAUGAAUGAGUAGUCUAGAGAGGAUUCAUCAGCCCAAAUGAUUUAAAAAGGAUAUAUCUCAUUUGCUCUCGGCUUAUAUUAACUGAAAGUCCUUGGCUAAUGCAAUCUUGAUAAGUCAAUAUGGAAGCUACAAGACUAAUGUCGAUAAGUUAAAAAGUAGACACGGAGCCAAACUUUUUAUCUAUCUGAGAUAUAUGAUGAAAGGAUCAAAUUACAUUGAAAUACUGUACACUGAAAGGUUAGUCACACCAUAUUGACUCUCCUGACUUUUGGGUGGCAUGAUGUAUUGCUAGAUGCCACUCAUAAUCUAUAAAUAUAAAUAUAAAUUCUUAAUUGAAUUGAUUUAUAUUUAUAUUUACAUUUAUUGACAACAUGUUGGGGACUUAAUAAGCCACACAAAAUAAAAUGACAAUGUGAAAUUAAAAUGGGACUGGUAUUUAAUUGGAUUAAGAAUUUCCAAUAUCGACUUAAUUAAAUUGUAUAAUUAAGUGGAAGGAUUAAAAUGCAAUAAACCAAAAGUUGGAUCAGCAUUUUAACCAAACUAUAAAUACCUUUUAUAUGUGUGCUGCACUUUGCAAGAAAGUAGAGGAAAAGGACGACAGAAAAAUAAAAGAGAAAAGUCGAAGCCUUAAGUGUCGUUUUCUUAAGAAAAAUUUUUCUUAUCUUCUUUUCAAGGCAAAAACAAAUAAUCUUUGAGAUGUGAGAUUUUCCAAAAAAUCUUCGCUACUAGCAUAACAUCAUGGCACCACAUAAUUCCAACUCAGUGUAGGUUUUCAAUUAACAUUUGUGUGGAUCACCAUUGAAGGCUGGACACAUGGAUAGCUUUGGUUUGCGACAACAAGGUUUUGGUGUACAAUCAAAUAGAGGGAUUUUGACACAUGAUUUUUGAAAAUCACUUCUUGAUGUAUAUGGCUGUACAUAUGUUUGUUUAUAUUUGCUUUUAAUUGAUCAAUAAGGAAACAUAAGUGAUCCAAGGUUGUUUUCGAUUUUGUUGAUUUAUAUUCCACUGCAUUAUAUGAAUGUGACUUCUUCUCUGAGCAUGCCCGAAACCCUUCAUUCUGAGCCCCAUGUCACUAGGGUCGAGUUUUAACCAUUGGGGGUCAACCCCCCAAGUUCAAACUUAGAAAAAUUCAUUUGUUUGGCUUCCUUUUCUAACCAUUUCGUCCUUCAUCAUUCAUCCACAAAUACAACACAAUAAUAUGGAGACAUUUGCAUUAAACAACAAGGAAUUCUCAUAGAUCAUCCUCACCAAUAUAUAAUUCACGAAAGUUCACAUUUUUACCAAAUUUUCACAAUAUGAAAAAUUAGGGUUUUACGAAUAAUAUACUUUGUUGGAAAUAGUUGAAUAAAAUAAUGAUACUUCAUUGCUUUGUGGGACUGAUCCUAAAGUUCAAAGGAUCCAUCCCACAAGGACAAAAAGGUAAUAUUUUUCAAAUGGGAUCAAUCCCAAGGUUUAUGAAAUCAAUCGAUCUUAAAGGAAGGGUGUAAAACAUUUUCCUUGAAUCAUCAGCAACAUUUUUCUAACUCUGUUAUAUAUCUUAUUAUAGUUUAUUUAAAUAAAAAGUUUAUAUUUAAUUCACUAAUAGUGUAUAGUUUCCAUAUGUUGUCUGCUCAACAAAUGCUGCCACCUUAUUACUAAGGUAAAACAAAAGUCUCUAAGAACUUAAACUUAAAUAUUAAAAAGUUUUUAAUAAUUAAUUAAAUAAAAAUAAAAAAACUCUUUUUUUCUCUCUCCAACUCCCUCACAACUGAUAACUCUAUUAUAUAGAGUUAUUCUAACACAUUUUGAAGGCUUAAGUAGCUAGAUUUUUGAGAUUUUAAGUUCAAAUUUUAGCAUUUAAGUGUUUUUCUAGUUUAAGUUAGAUUAUAUGUUGAGUAGUUAAUUUCAGUUAUUUUAGUUCAAUUUUACUUUAUUUUGUUUUAAUUUACUUUAAGAAGAGUUGUUGUCAAUUUCUCUCAUGGUUUUUUUACGGGAUAUUUGAUGAGUAAGGUACAUUUGAGUUAAAAUCGCACAAGUAUGGUAAAAGUUUCAUUCGUACAUGUGGUAAUUUUCUGAAGAUAACUUGAGCUACAGAGUCCAAGAUGUGAUUCUUGAUACAUUGCUAAGAUAAGAGAAUGGGCUACAACUUUCAUGUUUACCAUUUCAUCCAGUUCGGAUCUGAUCAAGGUGAAAAUUGAGUUGGAAGAUAAUGCAUAGUUGCAAUUUUGUAUAACGUGUUAAUUGGAGACCAUAGCUUUGAGUUAUUCAUGGUCGCGACGUUGGAGGAGCUAGGGCCACAGCAUUGGGAAGAUCGUGGCUGUAAUGCUGGACAAUUCAAGUGCAUUAAACUUGGCCUGAGGCCAAAAAGCCCUGACGCUGAAAAAGUAGCGCCACACUUGCGCAUUGCUAAGAAGUCAUGGCCGUGGCCCCACACUGGUUUCCAAAAAAAAAUGUUUAACGGUAAUUUGGAAAUUAGGGCACCUUGCUUAUAUUUAAGGGACUUUUUCAGAGGAGAGAAGUGGGUAGCAGCUAUUCUGAAGAUGUAGAGCCAAGAAUAAAGCAAGAAAGCAAGAGAAUUUGAGAAAGACUCAAAAUCAAAAGCUUCAAUUAUUAGUUACUUUUUCUAUUUUUGUUUUUCUCUUAUUUUCUUUGACUUGGAUUGUAACAUCUCGUACUUUGAUAUGUUGACUAAUAGAACUUAUCGGAUAUCAAUUGAGGUUAAUUAGAGUAUUUAAAAGUGAUGAAGGGUGAAGGGAAUAUUUUAGAGUAAAAUAUUCCGCAUGCGAAGCAAUAAUAAUAUUUUUUUUAUUUAUUGAGGAUGAAUAAACGAUAUAAAAAGUGAUUCGGAAGUGAAUCGGGGUAUAAUAAGACAUUUUGGGUGCUAAGGAGACAAGUGAAAAAUUUUAGAAUAAAAUAACUUUUUAUUAAUAAAAUAUUAUUAAAAUAUUAAUAUUUAAUUCAGUGUCAAAAUUUUCCAUGAAGAAGGAGUAUAUGGUCAAUUUAAGUGGGAAAGAAGAAGAACGAGGAAAUUUCAGAGAAAAAUGAAUUUAAUGGGGCCCGUGUGUUUUUAUUAAAUAAAGCUAGCGUGAGUAAGUCAAUAUUAAAAUAUUACAGUGAUACAACGUUGAAGCAUAAACUUGAUAUUUUAUUGAUACAAGUGUUAAGGAAGAAAAAUGGAAAGAAAUUGGAAUUAAAAGAUUGUGGGAGGAUACAAUUAAAAAAGGUGAAAACCUUAAAGGGUAAAAUGGUAAUUUUGCCAUUAAUUUGGUCAAAGCUUCCUAAGAAAGCUUUGACUCUUCAUUCUUAUCCCAUGGCUGGUUCUUAUCUCUAGCCAAAAGAUAUUUUCUUCCUCACCUUCAUGCUCCCAUGCCAUUUUCACCUUGCCACCAUGUAUUUGAAAAGAAAAAUGGCUUUGUCUUGCAAGGAAAACCGUACUCUUGGAAAGAAAAUAGAUGAGAUCAGUUGGAAGGAAGGAGAAAGGAAAGAAAGAAAGGAGAAAGGAAAGAAAGAAAGGAAGAUAAAGCUUGGUUUUGGUGAUUCAAGCAAGAUAAGGUAAGGAUUAUUGUUUUUAGCUUGAGUAAUCUUUGAAAAUGAGUUAGUGACUAAGAGAAGUGUCUUGUGGCAGCAAAGAUUGGCUUGACUGGAGAAAAAUUGGUGACAUACAAGCCAAAAAACCCGUGGGUACAUGAUGGACUCAAAGUGGAAAAGGAAAGCUGUAAGCUUAACACUAUGUUUUAAAGCCUACGGUUAGUUGAAUAUUGUGAGGAAAUAAUUGUGCAAGUGUGGGUAGCAUAUGAAUGUAAAUUAUGGUGCAUGUAAGUUUAGGAAAUGCUUGAUGAAAUUAGAUUUAUAAUUGCUGCCACAUGCAAGGUUAUUGGUGUGAGACCUCAACCUUUAUAGGCUUGUAACUAGGCAUAAACGCCAUAACACGGGCUAGGGGUAGUUUCGUCAUUUCCUCUAAUAAGCUCUCAGAAGAAAUUUUUAUUAUAUUUUAAAGUCUAAAUAGGCAUAAGACUGCAUAAAUGAUGUGUAAUGAUGAAAACACAAAGAAAAUUAGAAGUUUCAAUAAUUUUUACAACAGGGGCAGAAUGGUCAUUUUUCACCUCGGGUAAAAAUUUUUAAGUGUUCAUGAACCCGAGCAUUUCUAGACCAUUAUGGACCUUGUCCCAGUGUCAAAAGAGUACAAGAUUGCAUAAAGGAUUGGAAGAGAACAAGCUAAUUUGUGGAGGGGCAUUUUCAUAAUUUUAAGUAGAAUGGAUAAGCUUGAGCUAUAAAUAUCUUUUUCUUUCAGCAGCUUCUUCAUUCUCCAGCAACUUCUUCUCCUUCUUCUUUUUCCAUCUCACGUUGCUUCCAUCUUCCAUGGAGGCUUGAUAUGAAACUUUCAUAACUUUCUCUCUCUAACUCUAAUUUUCAUACCUUUGUGCCCUUUUGACUAGAACCCUUGUGAUCUUUCACUUUUUCACUUUAAAACCCUUGAAAAAUCCCACUUCCAUACUUUCUCUCACUAGCUAGGUGUUUAGAGAGAGAAUGAGAAAGAAAGCCCUUAUAAUAGCUUGGAAAACUAUUGGAAAGAAUUUCAAAAUUUCAAGGUAAGCAGUAAAUUAAAGUUGAUUUUAAAUGUUGAGAGUGGCUAAUGAUUAGGCUUGUGAAUGUUUUAUAGUAGGAUGUUUAUUCAUUUUAGAGUGGUUAAGGUAGUGAAUAUAGAUAGCCAUUUAAAUGGCUAUUGGAAGCUAGCUAAGAAAUAGCUUUUAGAAUCUUAAGUAUGUGAAUUGACAUAAUGGUGAUGCUAAUGUAAUGGUAGGUUCCAACAAAGCUCUAUUGCCCCAUUUGGACCAUUGGGGAAGUUAGAGUCGAUUAAAGGCCUAAAAACAUAUCGGUGAGUGGACUUGCAUUUCAAAAUUUGUUUUGGGAAUGUGAAUGCAACUGUUCAAACAUUUGAAAGAUUUUAUCUAGUUUUCUUUUGAAAAUGUACCUUGGGAAUAAGCCUUUGGUGAAGUGAUUUAAUAUUGUGAAAAUGUGCUAUACAAUGGUUUAUGUGUUAUCACAAUAUGAUAAUAUGCAUGAUAUGCAUUGGGUGCUUCUUUGUAUGUUGAUGUGGACCAGGCUAUGUGCGAGUAGGAGUGUACAUAAAUCGAUGAUGACCCAGCUAUGUGCGAGUAGGAGUGCGCAUAAGCCAAUGAUGACCAGGCUAUGUGCGAGUGGGAGUGCACAUAAGUCGAUGAUGACCCAGCCAUGUGUUAGUGGGGAGUGCACAUGAGUUGAUGACGAUGGGAGAGUGUGCAUGAUGAUGAAUAUAUAUAUAUAUAUAUAUAUAUAUAUAUAUAUAUAUAUAGUAUNNNNNNNNNNNNNNNNNNNNNNNNNNNNNNNNNNNNNNNNNNNNNNNNNNNNNAUAUAUAUAUAUAUAUAUAUAUAUAUAUAUAUAUACAUGUAUAGAUACGUGUGUUAUAGAAAGUUCAUGAAUAUGAAAAUUGUUGAAAUGCAUGUGAAAUUUGACAUGUUAAACUUUGGGAAAUUAUAUGAGUUUCAUGUUGUGUUGGUCAUGUGAACAGGGUGGCUUUUGUUUGAGGGAAUGGGAAAUUUUUGCUGGUGCCCUGUUUCUCGUUGCAGCAAGAAACUCUCAGGUUGGAGGGGUAAGACUAGCCGAAAAUCUCGCUACAGCAAGAAUGUAUUCUCGUUGCAGUGAGAAUGUUACUAUAGCUUCUCGCUAUAGCGAGAACCUUUCUGUUUUAUGACCAAAAAUUUUGCUCAAUCUCGCUGCAGCGAAAAACUUUCUGUUUUGCUCCUCAUUUGGUUCGGUUGCUACCCUAUUUUCCAUUUCUUUGGUACCAUAGUUGAGCAUGGACUUCCAACAUUAAGGAAUAAAUGAAUUAAGUUUAGAAAUGAGGAGGUUUGGUGAGAAACCCUUGACCAGUUAAGAAACCCUUUGCUAGAUUAUAAUUUAAGUCAAGUGUCACUGCAGCGGAAAGGCAUUCUCGCUGCAGCGUACUCGUCGUUUAUUUGACUUGAUUCGCAUGAAUGCUAUUAAAGUUUUCACUCUCCAAAUCCUUUGUUAAGCAUGGACCCUUUUCAUAAAGUGAUUUACUCAUGUGGGGUUUACAUGAGGGGUUUAAUAAGAACUAAAAUAAAUUGCGUUAUUUUGAAAAAUGAAUGCAUCAUGAUUUUGUUAAACAUUCCUUAUGGUAUGCUUGUUCCCUUCUUGUUCACUCACUGGGUUUAUACUCACCAUUUUCAAGUUCAUGUUCUCAGAUCAUGAAGUAGCUGGUAACUAGGUCGAGGUGUCUUCAUAUAUUCGACCCUUGGUAGGUGUUUUGGCAUUCAGCAGCUGUACAUUCGUCCGAGUCUCUCCUCUAGAAGUCAAGUACUCUUUCGUUGUGUAUAGACAAACCGAUGUAAAUUAUUAAAUUAUAUGUUUAGACCAUAUAUGUACACUUUGAUUGGUAUGCCACUAUGGGUUGGCAAAUGUUGGGUAUUAUUUUGAUCCAAAGUUAUAAAAUGUGACUUAGCAACUUUUGAUGGAAGGGUGAACAGUUCAUAGUAAUAGGCUUGCUUGGGCUCAGUGGGCUACGUCCAUUGGGCCCAUCGUCGAUCAUGGCUCGAAUUUUGGGUUGUGACAAUUGGUGUAAAAUUGAUAGUUAAACUUGAUAGAUACCAUUGGAAAGGAUUAAUAUGUGUGCUAACGUUAUAAACAAGUUACCGGUACUUAUAAUCUAAAGAAUUACGCAAACAAAGGAUAUGAAGAACCUUAGUAAAAAUGUGUCAAGAUGCAAGUUAGUAGAAUGAUGAUUCAUGAUUGAAUGAGAAAGAGAAGUUGAAAUGAUAUACACUAAAUGCAUUGAGUUUAAUUUGUUGCUAGGAAAGUUUGCCGUGGUGGCAUACCAGGCGAGGUAACGAGUGACUGGCAAGUAGAAAUAGCGAGAUACGCACCCGAAUCAAUAGCAACGAAGCGUCUCGCUAUUGUAAAGUGAGUGGGGGGUGCCUAUUUCAAAAUUUCCAUAGCUAUAUUGUGUUAUACGUUGCAUAAACGUUGCCAGAUUUCAUUAAAUGCAAUUAUGGAAAGCAUGAGCUAUUAGCCCCGAUAGGCGAUUUCUAAAUGGAUUUAUAAUGAUUUAUACACUAUUAUUGUGGAAAGCAUGGGCUGGUAGAACUCGUAGGAAAUUGUGGAUGCAAGUUGUUUUGAAAAUUGUUUUGGAUAUAUCUAUAGAUGAGCUAUAUAUGUAAAGUGUUUUAGAAACUGGGAAACCAGCCUUUUAUACUGUUUUGCAUUCAAAAUCUGUGCCUUGAAUUUUUGUGUGAUAUGCAUAGUUUAAAUGCAAUUGUUAAAUGAUUUAAAAUGCAAGUUUGGAGCACCAAUUUUAGUUCGAUCUUUGUAUAAGAGAAUACACCAUGCCUUUUUAGGUGAAAAGAAAUUUGAAAGGUUAUUGAACCUUGUUUUCAAAUAGUUUAAAGCAAAAGACUUGGAAACCUCGAUUUGAUCUUUUGAAAAUGGUUUUGACAAACCAAGUGCUUCGAGAGUAGGCUGACUGUCACUUCGGUUAAGUGUGACCCUCGUGCAUGAGUGAGAUCUAGCUAGAGAACCUUUAAGUCACCGACAGGCGGUUAGGCAUGGCGAGGGCCACGACCUAUGAUAUGUCUACUUGGCUAGGCCACAAGUGAUCCGGUAGAGUGAGACUCCCGGAUGUGAGUGGUAGCGACCGCUUGAUUCUUCGAUGUCGGCCAACAUUGUGGAGACUGCCAUGGCUAUGGGAAUCCGGUGGAGUAAGACUCCCGAAUUGUUAUUACAUGGAAGUGGGUCCACGUGUUGAUAUUAUACUUUCCUACUCGAGAGCCUUAUGAGUUUUCAAUGCGUGCUCUCUUGCAUGGUAGAGAGUUGAGAUUUUCUCUACAGCUCCCAUUGUUUAAAUAAAAGCUUUCAGUGCUUACUUGACAAACAUGAGUUGAUUUAGGUGGUUGUACACUUUGAUUUCUUUACAUGCCACACAUUUUGGGAGCAUGCUUACCUUUAUACUGUAUUUCAUAUUUUGAUCGCGAUGAUGUUUUCGGUGAUUGAAACUCUUUCUGAAACACUUAUAUUCGGCACUAUUUUGCGAAAGAAAGCAUUGUAUUAUGAUUUUACGAUAUUAUUUUAUAAGGCAUAAAUAUCCUCGCAGUUUGGUUUAUAAGAUUUGCAUUUUAUAUUAUGGUUUUAUCAUUCAAAUGAUCUGCUUAUUGCUUGUUUCCUAUUUUCUCCCUACUCACGGAGCCGAUGAUCACUAAGUUUGUAAGACUCACCCCCUUAUUUCCCUUUUUUCAGAUAGUGAUCGGCGUAGCGUGCAAUCAUCAGCAUUUAUGGUUCAUCGUAGAUAAGUAAAGGCAUCUCCUAGCAUUUCAUUCCAAGUCACUUCACUGCUAUAGGUCAAGUCGUAGCACUUUGUUUAUUUAAUUGUAAAUGGAUAGUGGCCUUGGUACAAGUAUUAAACUGGAGACUUUAGACCUCAUUGUAUAUGCUUAUGAUUAUAUGUUUUAAAGAUCGAAUUGAUUAUUAUAUUUAUGGUUCAAGUUAUGAUAUGAAAGAAUAUGGUUUAAGCACUAAUAUGGAAUGGUGAUCGUAUAAGUGAGCUAAUGGGUAUUUCUAGUAAAGCUUGUUCGAGAUUUGAUAGGUUUACCCGCAAUUCUCGAACACCGAUAAUGAUCGAAGAGCAGUCGUUACAUGGAUUUAUGGCUAAAUUUCAUUGGAUGAUGUUUUAUUUGAAUAUUAUAAGCUAAAUUAUUUUUCUAGGAUUAUGGUGGAUUUUAACAUGUAGUCUGAAUAUUUGUUUCUUUUUUAUUUAUCACGAAUGGGUAUUGUUUUACUUAUUCAAAUCUAUUCUUAAUGCUUUUAAUUGCCUGAUCAACAAUUAAUUAAUUUAUAAAUCUAAUUGAAACUCGACAGAGAAAUUUUAGGUUGGACUAAGAUUUGAAUAGUGUAUGUUCACAUCACUUAGUUUAUCUAAUUCACGAUUCGAGUAAACUUACACCAAUUACCAUACAUAGUCAAAUUAGAACACUAACUUAAUGAACUUAAUUUAAUUGAUUCCUAUAGACAUAAAGUGAACUAAUUAAUGUGAGCAUCUUCAUGAAGACUUGUAUAUAGUUUUGGAUCCUAGGUUAGUAAAAACACCCAAGAAGAUAAAUAAUAAAAGAAGCUGGCAUUGUAACGACCGCCCCUCGAUCGCUAUCGGCAUCCGAGUCUUGUGAGGGAACCUGCCAAGUCUCGAACAAGCCUUAUUCGAAACCUUUGUUGUAACAAUGAACUCAUUCCAACGAUAUCUAUAAUUACUUGAGCCAUAUAUCUUUUUUGUUACAUAAUUUGAACAAUAGCCAUAAUAAAUCAAGUUAACCUUUAUUCCACAUAAUUGUAAAAGUACAUCAAGUUCUUUAAUAUCCAACCAUACAUUUACGUUAACACUAUUUACAAUCAAAUUAGGCUACGAAUGACUCGACCUCUAGCAGCGGAGUGACUCAGAAUAAAAUGCUAUGAGAUGUCGUUACCUAUCCGUAGUGGACCAUAAGUGUCGAUGAUUGCACGAUAGGCCGAUCACUAUCUGCAAAAAGGAAAAUAAGGAGGUGAGUCUCACAGAUUCAAUGAUCAUCGGCUCCGUGAGCAGGGCGUAGAUGGGAAACAAGCAUAAAACAGAUAAGUUUGAACAUUAAAAACAUAUGAAUAUGUAUAAACAAUUUAAAAUCAAAUGGGGUAUUUAUGCCUUACAAUUAAAUCCAAAAGUGUUGAUGCAAAUAAUCAUUUCAAGUAAUGUAUUAAAACGAGUGUAAGAAAAACAUUUCUACCGUCGAAAUCAUUUAACAUCUUUACUCACAUCAAAUCAGUAUAAUCACGCACUCUCCUAUGAAAUCAAAUAUUAUCAAAGCUUUACACAAAUUCGCAAAUCGCCUCAUAUGCUAGGAGUUAAAUCCAACAUCAUAGUAUAAAUAAGGGAGCUAUAGAAAAUCUUAUAGUUCUCACCAUGCGAAAGAAUACAAGUUUAAAAACCCAAAGAGAUGCCACUCUCGAGUAGGUAAUCGUAAAAAAUAACUCGUGGACCCACUUCCACAUAAUAACAUUCGAAAGCUCUACUCCACCGAAUUCCAUAGCCAUGUUAGUGUCGACGAUGUUAGUUGACAUCGGAGAAAUCAAGUGGUCGCAACCGCGUAUAUCACUAGUGGCCUAACCACGUAUAUCAUCCGCUGGCUUUGCCACGUAUAAUCAUAGACCGUGACCCCAGCCACGUUUAACAGCCCAUCGGUGACCCAAAGGUUCUCUAGCUAGAGCUCACUUGUGCACAAGGGUCACACUAUCUUGAUGUGACAUUCAGCCUACUCUUGAAUCUCUCAAUUUGAUAAAACCAUUUAAAAAUCAAGUUAGGUUCUCAAAAGCUUAUUUAAAAUCCAUUUCAAAAGUACUAGCCAUGGUAACACGAUAAAACCUUUUUUUUCGUAAGACUUUUGCAUUGUGAAACCUUUGCAUGAGCUUUAGAUGUCAUUAGCAUGGUGAUUGUAAGAUUCAUUCAUGAAUGCACAUCACACAAUCAACAAAGCACAUUUUGAUAUAAAUCGUAGUAAAACACUUGUUUCCCUAUUUCAAAACCCUUUUUGUAUGUAGUUAAUAUAUAUACAUACAAAACCUUUCUUAAAGAAUUGGCAAUCACAAGCCUAUCAUUCUACCAACUCAAUGUGAGACCUCAACCUCUAUAGGCUUGUAACUAGGCAUAGACACAAUAACACAAGCUAGGGGUAGUUUCGUCAUUUUCUCUAAUAAGCUCCUAGAAGAAACUUUUAUGAUAUUUUAAGGUCUAAAUAGGCAUAAGACCACAUAAAUGAUGUGUAAUGAUGAAAACACAAAGAAAACUAAAAAUGAUAAUAAUUUUCACAAUAGGGGCAAAAUGGUCAUUUUGCACCUCGAGUCAAAACUUUUGAAAGUUUCGCAAACCCGAGCAUGUCUAGACCAUUAUGGACUUGGUCUCAGUGUUAAAAGAGUAAAAAGAUUGCACAAAGGGUUGCAUGAGAACAAGCUAACUAGUCAAGGGCAUUUUCGUAAUUUUAAGGGAAUGGAUAAAUUUGAGCUAUAAAUAUCUUCUCCUUCCAGCAGCUUUUUCUUCUUCUUCUCCUCUUAAUUCACGUUAUUUCCAACCUCCAUGGAAGCUUGAUAUGGAGCUUGCAUAAUUUUCUCUCUCUAACUUUAAUUUUCAUACCUUUGUGCCCUUUUGACUAGAAUCCUUGUAUUCUUUCACUCUCUCACUUCAAAACCCUUGAUAAAUCUUAUUUCCAUACUUUCUCUCACUAGUUGGGCAUUUUAGAGAGAGAAAGAGAGAAUUACCCCAUUUGUUUGGAAGCUAUUGGAAAAGAAUUCAACCAUAUAGAAACCCUAGGGUGAGUGAUGAACUAAGCUUGGUUUUUUAACUGUGGAUAAUAACUAGUAAUUGGGAUUAUAAGCUAUUUUAUUGUUAAGGAUGUUCAUUCAUUUUAUAGUGAUUAAGAUAGUGAACAUACAUAGCCAUUUAAAGUAGCAAUUGAAAGCUUGCUAAGGGAUAGCUUUUAGAGUUUAUAAGUAUGAAUUGACAUUAAGGUAAUGUUAAUUUGAUGGCAGGUUCUAACAAAGCCCCAUCACCCCAAUUGGAUCAUUAAGGGAAUUAGAGUCAGCUAAAGGCUCAACAAUAUACCGGUGAGUGAAUUGCCUUCAAAACUUGUUUUAGGAAUAUAAUGUAUUUGCCACACAUUUGAAAGAAUUAUCAAGUUUUUCAUAAAAACAAGUGCCUUGGGAACAAGCUUUUGCUAAAUGGUUUUAUGUUGUGAUAUGCGAUUGCUAUGGAUUCAUGCACUAUUGCAUUAUGAUGAUAUAUAUAUAUGUGUGUUGUGCAUGAUGAUUGAUAUUGUGUAUGAUGAUUGUAACCAUGUGUGUGCACAAUGUGGGGGAUGCACAUGCCGGUGAUGAUGGUGGCGUGAGAGAUGGAUGAUGAUAGUUCUCGUGUGCACGAUGUGGGGGGAUGUACACAAUAGCACUGAUUGUGCACGAUGUGAGGGGAUGCACGCGAUGGCGUCGGCUAUGUGCACGAUGUGGGGGGAUGUACAUGAGCCGGGUGUGAUUAUGAUGAUAUUGAUGUUUAUCUAUGUAAUUAUGCAUAUCUAUACUUAUGAAAUGAAAGCUCAUGAAUAUGAUAUAUGUUUGACAUAUAUGUGAAAUUUGAUACAUUGCACUUUGAGAAUUUUCAUGUGUUUUAUGUUGAUUUUGUUGGUUUAGCAGGAUGGCCUUUUAUUGAGUGAAGGGAAACCUUUUUUCUUGGUGCUCUGUUUCUCGCUGCAGCGAGAUUCAUUUUCGUUGCAGCGAGAAAGGUAUUGUAGCUUCUCGCUGCAAUGAGAAACUUUCUGUUUUGUGACCAAAAUUUCACUGUAGCGAGAUUGAAUCUCGCUGCAGUGAAAAACUUUCUGUUUUGCUCCUUCUUUGGUUCGGUUGCUACCUCGUUUUCCACUUUUUUGAUACCAUAGUUGAGCAUGGACCUCCAACAUUACGGAAUCAAUGAUUUAAGUUUAAAAUGAGGAGGUUUGGUGAGAAACCCUUGUUCGCCUAAUAACUUAAAUCCCAAAGUCGCUGCAGCGGGAAGGCAUUCUCGUUGCAGCUAAGAUUCGUUGUUGCAUUUGACUUGUUUGUGUAUCACUGAAGCCUUCAUUUUUUCAAAUUAUUUGUUAUGUAUGGGUUCAUCAUUACCAAGUGAUUAAUCAUUUAAGGGUUUAAUGAGGGGUUUUUAAUAUGAAUGAAAUUAAAUUGCAUUGUUUUAAAACAACUGCAUCAUGAUUUUAAAUUCUUUCUUAUUGUUGCUUGUUCCCUUCCUUGUUCACUCACUAAGUUUAUACUCACCGUUUUCAACUUCAUGUUUUCAGAUCACGAGGCAGUUGGUAACUAGGUCGAGGUGCCCUUGUAGACUCGACUAUUGAUAGGUGUCUCGGCAUUCAGUAGCUGUACAUUAGUUCGAGUCUCUUCGCUGGAAAUCGAGUCUUUUUUUGAGAUGUAUAGACAAACUUGAUGUAAAUUAUUAAGAUACAUGUUGUAGGCAAUGUACACUUGAUUGGUAUGCCAAUAUGAGUUUGCAUUGUUUAGUAUUAUUUUGAUUCAAAGUUAUGAAAUGAGACUUAGCAGCUUUUGGUAGAAUGAUGAACAUGUCAGAUUAAUAGGCUUGCUGGGCUAAGUGGACUAUGUCCAAUGGGCCCAUGAGUCGAUCAUGGCCCGAAAUUUGGGUCGUGACACUCCAACUGUCCACAAAUUUGCAUUUUAAGUAAACCAACACGUAUAAAUAUAUAUAUAUAUAUAGUUAUGGGAAUUUUAAAAUAGACACCCUCUACUCACCUUACAAUAGCGGGACACUAUGUCGUUAUUGAUUCGAGUGCAUAUCUAACUAAUUCUACUUGUCGGUCCACGUUACCUCCUCUGGCAUGCCACCACAGCACAUUUCAUUUACUUAUACACUUCCUAUCAACCAUUCAAACCCAAUAUACUUAAUUAUUCACAUGCAUGGUAGCACAUCAAGUAAUAAAUCCUUAACCUAAUUUCAUAGUUUUCAUCAACCUUACUCACAAUCAUUUAACACGCAAUCCACAUAUUAUCAAUUAACCAAAGCCAACACGCACAAUAUAGUCAAUUUGCAUGCUUACCUCUCGAUUUUAGCUUACAUUCCACAUAUCAUUCACAACUUCCUCACAUCUUCGAUCACUAUUGCUGCCACAAACAUAAACAAUCAAUAUACAUCUCAUUUUUCCUUUCUACUUAUGAUUUCAAGACUAAAACACUUACCCAUUGCUUAUUUAGCUCCAAAAUCACCAUUCAUUCCAAGAUCUACCUACAUGCAUGUCUCAGGUUCUUUGAAUCCUUGAAGGUUCUGACUACAACAAGCAAAAUCUCACAUUACAAUUAAUUUACAAAGCAUGCAUUUUGUGACAUCCUCCUCGGGGCCCACCCAUGUGGCCUCCCCAUCUAGGGCCCACUCCAAGGUAUUGUUCGGUCUCCCGUUCCCUGCGGUAUGUCCCAGCUGCAGCUGCGUACCCAGGAUUCGAACCCGAGGCCUUUUGUUUCCCCCAAAGGGAACGCUUUUAACCAUUUCGGCUGCUGAAAUGGUUAAAGGUGUUCCCUUCGAGGGAAACAAAAGGCCUCGGGUUCGAAUCCUGGGUACGCAGCUGCAGCUGGGACGUACCGCAGGGAACGAGAGAUCGAACAAUACCUUGGAGUGGACCCCGGAUGGGGAGGCCACAUGGGUGGGCCCCGAGGGGGAUGUCCCAAAAAAGUGCCUUUUUACAACUGAAAUGGUUAAAGGCGUUCCCUUCGGGGGAAACAAAAGGUCUUGAGUUCGAAUCUUGGGUAAGUAGCUGCAGCUGGGACGUAUCGCAGGGAACGGGAGACGGAACAAUACCUUGGAGUGGGCCCCGGAUGGAGAGGCCACAUGGGUGGGCCCCGAGGGGGAUGUCACACAUUUCAAACAAAAAUGGUAAUUUUUUUACCUUUCCUUGUCUCGAGUUCACUAGGCUAAACGCUUCUUUCUCUUUUCUUCUUCCUCCUUUCUUCUUUUCUUUCUUUCUCUUUUCUUCUUUCUUUCAAACCAAUUCUCUUUUCUCCUUUCUUAACUCUUCCUCUCCUUUUGGGGGAAGGCUUCACAAAGCCCUCUCCCAUCCAUUUUCCUUCCAAAUGGGCAGAUCUCUCAUGAACUCACUUGUUUCUUCACAUUUUCUUCCAAAGGUCGAACCUCCACUUUGCAUGUUUCUUUUCUUCUCUUUUUGUUUUAUGAUGGGCGGACCUCUCAAGGCAAAAGCCUUGAAAAUGGCUUUCAUUUUCUCAUUUUGCCCACACAUGGGCGGAUUGCCCAAAGUCACAUCUUUUUUUCUUUAUUUUCUUUUCUUUUCUUUUCUUUUUCUUCUCCCAUGGGUAGAUUACCCAAGGCUUGACUAUUUUGGCAUUUUCCUUUUUCUUUUAGGUGGUUAAAAUCACAAGCCAAGAGAAAAGCUUUUAAAACCUUUCCAUCCACUACCUUCAUUUUCCAUUCUUUCUUCAUUUGCAUUUCAUUUCACAUGUAUUUCAUCUCCUUUAAUUUCUACUUAGCAUUCCUUCAUUCGGCCACUUAUCACCCAAUAUUGUUUCAUGCACAUUUCCUUUACCAAUAGCCUUUGCCAUCCCAUAAACCAAUAAGGCUUCAUGCAUUUUUCCAUUCUUGAUUCCUAUUUAACCACCCUCAAAACCAAUAAGAUUUCAUGCAACUAAAUUAUUCUUUCUUUUUCUUACCAAAUCACAUUGUCAACCUUACUUUGUUUACCAUGGGUUAUCUUUGCCAAACCAUGGUUUUCCUUCACUUAAAUACUCUUUAUUCUUUUUCUCCUUAUCAACUUUUGCAUGGAGGGGUCCCUCAUGUUUCCCACUAACUUCUUACUUUUUGCAUGCAAUGAUUUGCACGUAAUAGUAAAUUGACAUGUACAUCUCUUAUCCCACAUAACCUAACUUUCCUUAGUUAGUAAAUGCCCAUUUAACUUCAAAUAUUGAAAUUGCACAAAGUCUUCAAACUUUUCCUUAUUUACCAUUCGACCCUCAAAGCUUUCAUCCUUUACAAUUUGGUCUUUUCAACGUUUAUUUAAUUCUAAUUUCCUUCUAUCUUCCUUCCUUUACACUUGUACAAAUAGGAUAUAAAAUUUGCACUUCACCAAGGUAUCAUCAUAAUAUUUAAAUAUAUACUUACCCGCUCUAGCUCUAUUUAAUAAAGGCACGCGGGCCCCCACUAACGUCGUUUUUCUUCAAAAUAUUUCUUACUUCCACUCUCCCACUUAGACAAAUUAUAAAAAUCACACUUCCUUCGUGUAAUAUAUCCAAUUUGACGUCAGUAUUAUUUUAAUAUUAUUUUAUCCAAUAAUUAUUAGUUUAUUUCAAAAUUUUCCUCCAGCUUUCUGGAGCUACAAAAUACCUUACUUUGCCCCGGUUCACUUCCGAAUCACCUUUUAACUCACUAAUUCAUCCUUGAUAAAAAUAUUAUUACUUAAUUACUAUUUUCUCACAUGUAAAAUAUUUUAUUUCAAAAUACUCCUUUCACUUGUCACCGCUCUUUGGCACUUAAAUUUAGGUCAAUUGAUCCUUUGUCUCAUCGAUAGGGUCUUAUUGGCUUCUAUACAAAGGUACGGGGUGUUACAGAUAUUAGAUAAAAUGUUGAAUGAACCCAUAACCUAGGUCUUUCGUCUAUUGUCUUUCUUGAUUAUAUUUAAUUACUACUAGUUAUUUUAGUAUUUAUUUUAAUUUUUUUAUUAGUUAGUUUUUCUUUAAUUUUCAAUUACUUAAAUAAGAUUAAUUUGUUAUAAAAUUUUAGUACUUAGUGAGAAUUUGAAAACAAAUCCCUGUGGGAACGAUACUCUACUUCUAUUAUGUUACUUGUUUGCGAUCACGUGCACUUGCGUGAAAAUUCGACAAUGAGUUUUUUGGCAUCGUUGCUCGGAAUUUUGUUUUUUUAUUAUUGGCUAAUAUUAAAUUUCCAUAGAUUAGUCUUAAUUUAAGUUUUAUUACUUUGUUUUGCAGGUGUGUUUAGUCGUUGUAUGAGAAGAGCAAAAAGCUUAGAGAUUGCACCUUGUGAUCCAAUAAUUGAGAGAACAUUCUGAAGACUUCGACAAGAAAAUCAAUAAGGUUUUGCUCCGAUAAAUACAAUUGCUGAUCAACAGGGUGAAUGUUGCUAGCUUUACACACACACACAAGCGCACGUAUCGCACAAGUAAUAUAAUAGUAAAAAAAGUGUCAUCUCCAUAGAAAGUUGGUUAUAAUCUUUCACCAAGUACUAAAAUUAUAACAAGCUAAGUUUUAUCCAAGAAAUAAGAAAAAACAAGUUGUUGAAGUGAAAUGAAAUUUGAUCUAAAAAUCUAAAUAAAUUUAAGAAUUGCAAACUAAGAUUAUAGUGAGGAAACAAUGUAAUUAAAGCCUAGUACUAUGAUUUCAGCUAUUGCUUUGUUGGGAUACAAGAUCAAUUAACUACCUACUUUUUAUGGGGAUCAAUGUUAGUCUAGGGUACUUAAGCAUGCAUAAUACUUCGUCGAGUCAUCACACAAUUUCCUAGCUUUAUUAACUAUCUAUAUGCUAUAGAAAAUUAAUUAAAGCUAAGUUAAUUAAGUUUAGGUCCUAUAUUUGACUAUGUAUGAUUAAUAGGUAUAUGUCUAUUCUAUUAAUUAAUCACCCACUUAAUUUCUUAACAUGGAAUGUACACUACUCAAAUUUAGGUCUAUUUAAACUAUCUUUGUCAAGCAUCAUCUAAAACCCCAUACUCAACUUAUUGGUGAUCAAGCAACCAAUGAGGCAAUAAGCACAUAUUUGAAUAAACAUUGAUAUUCCCUUAAAAAGUAAGUAAAAAUCAAUCCAAAAUAUCCAAACUACACAACAACAUCUACCAUAACCCUAGAUUAAGAGCUUUAACUCAACAUAUUCAAAAUACAAACACAAAUCUCAACAAAAUGAAGCAUUUCUACAAAAAGAGUUAGAGAGAGAAAAUCUAAUCUAGAGUGGGAAAUUUUUUGAAGUAGCUUUUUUAUCCUUCAAUUUCUUCAAUUUCUCUUCUUUUUCCCUCUUGGUUCCAACCUUUUUUCGCUCAAAUUACUGUCUAAACCCCCACUUUAUUUUUAGCCCUAAAAAGAUUGUAUUUAUACCCUUUUUAUUGGCCAUUUGAUGUCAAAUCAGAUGGCCAAUAAUGUGCAGAGUCAUGUUUUAGUGCCUAGGCACCCAAGCACUGGCGCCUAGCCUUUUUAAGGUGUUGGGCAAUGCAUUCAAUGCCUAGGUGCCCAAGCUGCUGGCCACACAGCAUGCAAUCUAUUAGAGUCAAUUGAUUUUCUUUACACUUUUUACCAUGAUCCUUUUUGAACUAGGUAAAGUUUUGAACAUUAAAGUUAUAGGUCCUCCUCUUAUCUUUUUGCAAGUCUAAGAAUUGUGUCAAUCAGAGUUUUGUAGCUCAAGAUAUGGUUCGAUUAUCAUAGCAUUGUCUAAGGUCACCUUAAGCAAAAGUGCAUGAUCCUUUGUAAAAUUGACUUCCAAUCAAUAAAAGGUAAAAAAAAGACUUAAUAACAUGGAAAUAAACUCAAAUUACUUAAACUACCAAGGCAUGCAUAAAGUAAAUACCAAACAAAUAUAUAAACAAGGUCUAAAUUAAUUAAAAACAAGAGGACAUUAGUCAUUUUUAGGCUCUAAAGAAUGUAAGAUAACUUUAUAAAAUAGAGUUAUCAGUGAAUAGCAAAUCCAAGAGCACGUAGUAGCUAAAAAUCAUUGCUUAAGGGAUUAUGCUAUCCUAUUAGUGUAAGGGAUUCCAUCAAGCAUUCGAAGGCCAGCUAUUCAAGCAAAUAAUUUUGAGAUCAAGUCAGCCAUCAUCACCAUGAUUCAAACUUCAAUCCAAUUUCGGCUCUACCAAAUGAUGAUCCAAAUAGCCAUAUAUCAAACUUCUUGGAGAUUUCUGAUAUGUUCAAACAUAAUGGUGUCAUAGUUGAUGCAAUUUGUUUGAGGCUUUUUCCUUUCUCAUUGAGGGAUAAAGCUAAAGAAUGGUUGAAUACGUUCCGUACUGGCUCAAUAACAACAUGGGAUGAUCUUGCUCAAAAGUUCCUUGCUAAGUUCUUUCCUUCGACUAAGACAACAAAAAUGAAGAAUGAUAUUACAUCAUUCAUGCACGAAGAUUCUGAAUCAUUGCACGAGGCUUGGGGAAGAUGCAAAGAAUUAAUUCUGCAUUGUCCUCAACAUGGUAUUCCAAAGUAGCUUUAGGUGUAAACUUUCUACAAUGGCUUGACUAGGCAUGUUCGGAUUACUAUUGAUGUCACUAUAGGAGGAGCUUUAAUAGCUAAUCAAUUGAUGAGGCAUAUGAUUUGUUGGAAGAAAUGGCUACAAAUAACUACCAUGACCAACCAAGAGAUCAAUGCAUAAGAGAGUAGUUGGAAUUCAUGAUGUAAAUGCUCAUUUGGCAUUAUUUGCGCAAGUAGCAGCUUUAACUAAGACACUUGAAUCUUUUGGUACAAACUCCAUCAAAGUCCUUUUGUAGGUUGUAAAUGUUGUGUAGAUAAUCAUGCAAGCCAUCAAUGUCCAAGUUUGACAGAAACAGUGCAAUUUGUGGGGAAUAAACAACAAAAUAACCUUUACCCCAACAUAGACAACUUAGAGUGGAGUAACCAUCCAAAUUUCUUUUGGGCUAAUAAUCAAGGAUCUUCCUCAACUUCAAGGCUAAAUGCAAUUUCGGGAUUCUAAUAGCAAGCCAGAGCAUUUUUCUCAAAAAAAAAAAGCCAGCUGUGGAAGACUUACUAAGGUAGUACAUGAAACAGAAUGAUAGCAUCAUACAAAGUCAAAUAGCUCUUAUUCAGAGUCAAGCAGCAUCACUUCGAAACCUUGAGACUCAAAUUGGUUAACUUACCAAUUUAUUAAACAACUAACCUCAAGGAGCACUACCUAGCGAUACAAAGGUGAAUCCUAGAAGAGAGGGUAAGGAAAAAGUUAUGGCAAUCACCUUGAUGAGCAAAAAAGGGUUGAAAGUAGUGUUAAGCAAGCUAUACUUCAAGAUGAGCAUAUUGAAAAUGAAAUAGUGAUUGAGUCAAUAGAUAAGUAAAUUCAAGAGAAUGAAGAAAAGGCAACUCUACCACUACCACCCUUUCGUCAGCAUUUUCAAAAACAAAAGCUUGAUAAGCAUUUCCAAAAGUUUCUUAAGGUAUUCAAAAAGCUUCACAUCAACAUUCCUUUCACAGAAGCUUUAGAGCAAAUGCCAUCAUAUGUGAAGUUUCUAAAGGGCAUAUUGACAAAGAAUAGGAAAUUGAAGGAUUUUAAGACAAUUACACUCACUGAAGAGGGUAGCACGAUAAUCCAAAAUAAGCUUCCACCAGAACUUAAGGACUUAGGGAGCUUUUCUAUCCCUUGCUCAAUUGGUAAUUUUAAUUUUUCAAAAGCUUUAUGUGAUUUGGGUGUUGGUGUCUCAAUUAUCCUUUUGUCUGUUGGUAGGAGAAUUGGACUAAAGGAGAUUCAACUUACUACAUUGAACUUGCAGCUAGCAAACAGAAUGAUAAGGCACCCUUGUGGGAUUAUAGAGGAUGUCUUACUUAAAGUGGGGAAAUUGUACAUUCCAAUAGACUUGCUUAUACUUGAGAUGGAGGAAAAUCAAAAGGUUUCAAUCAUAUUGGGGCAUCCAUUCUUGGCCAUUGCAGGCACAAUUGUCCUUGUAAAAAAAGGUAGAAUAACUUUUAGAGUUGGUAAGGUAGUAGUUGAAUUUACUAUUUUCAAUGAAACUAAAUAUCCUUCUUCCACAGCCUAUUGCUAUAAAAUGUAAUUAGUCGAUAAAAGGUAAAGGUAAUUCUACUCCACCACUUAUAAGUAAGCCAGCACCAACUCUUGAGUGAAAGCCACCGCCACCACAUCUCAAAACUAAGUAGUGUUAUGAUGAGCAUUGUCACGACCUGAUUUUUGAGCCAUGAUCGGCGCAUGGACUCUAUGGACAUAGUCCGCUAAGCCCAAGCAAGCCUAUUUAUAUAAUCCUACUCAUCAUCCCGUCAACUAUUCUUACAUAUACAUCUCAUAAUCUCAACCCUUAAGUACUUUAAUAGUAAGUUAUAACAAUCAAAACUGCAUUUAUAUUCGCCAAAAAUAACCUUAACCAUUGCCACUCAUGGUGGCUUUACCAAUCAAAAUGUACAUAUAUGGUCUAAGGCAUACAUCUUAGUACUUUACAUCACAUGUACGUAUUUACAAACAAAAAUGACUCUGGGUUUCCAACGAAGUGACCAAGGUGAAGGUGCGGCUACGGAAUGCCAAGAUACCUACCAAGGAGAUGAAACUACAUGGACACCUCGACUUAGGUUCCAACUACCUCUUGAUCUGAAAACAUGAAGUUGAAAACAGUGAGUACAAACUCAAUGAGUGAACAUAAGAAGGGAAAAAGCAAGAUAAGGAAAGUUGAUAAUCACGAUGCAUUUAUUUGAAAACAAUGCAAUUUAGUUCAAGUUCUUAUUAAAAUCCCUCUAUUAAACCCUUGGUUAUUAAAUCAUUUAAUGAUGAAGGAACCACAUUCAGCAUGAAAUUGGAAAGAGAGGAAAUUCCCAGCAAUAAUCUGAAUAAGGCAGCAUAAUAGACAGAUUAUCGCUGCAGUGCAAAGGUAUUCUUGCUGUAGCGAACUUCAGGCACAAAUCAUCAACGGAAUGAGGGUUUCACUCAACUGCACGAGGGUUUCGCGUUAGAACCCCUUGUCUCAAACUAAAUUAAUUAAUCCCUUGACAUUGGAAAUCCAUGAUCAACCAUGUUGUUAAAGCAGUGGAAAAUAUAGCAAAAACCAACAAGGUAGCAUGCAAGACAGAAAGUUUCUCGCUGCAGUGAGUUACAGGCAGCAAAAAUAGAAUGUUUCUCACUACAGCGAGAAGUAGGGCACCUAAAUAAAGAAGGGCCUCCUUUGCACUAAACAUCCAUUUGGUGCUGCAAUAAAAUCAAUUUGCAAGUAAAUGGAAAUUUUCAAGAUUCAUCAUGGCAUACAAUCACAUAUUAUAAUCAUGAUCUUUUUAUUGCAUAAACAUAUACCUAAACAUAUAUCAAUUCGUAUACCACCCCAUCUCACCCAGCUCAUGUGUAUCCCCCCACAUCGUGCACAUAGCCGGAGUCAUCGCGUGCAUCCCCCCACAUCGUGCAUAGGUACAGACAUCAUGUGCUCCCCCACAUCGCGCACAGUUGAUGCCAUCGUGUGCAUCCCCCCACAUCGUGCACACGGGUAAUAUCACCAUCCAUCUCCCUCACCACCAUCAUCAGCGACAGGUGCACACUCACUCCGCACAUGCAUGGUUGCAUUUGUCACAUAAUGGUACCAUUUAUGACAUAGUAUAUAUAUAUAUAUAUGUAUAUCAACAUUAUACAGAAACAUAUGGAUUCAUCACACUAUCCAUUUCGUAACAUAAAAACAUUUCAUAAGGGCUUGUUCUCGUGCGAGUUUUGAAGAAAGAACCAAUAAAACGCUUUAGAGGAUUAAAUCAAACAUACAUGUGUAUAUCCCAAAACCUUUUUAAUGCAAGUUCACUCACCGGUAUUUGUUGAACCUUUAGUCGACUCUAACUUCCCUAAUGGUCCAAUUGGGGCUGAGGGGCCUCGUUGGAACCUAUCACGCAUAAAAACAUCAUAGCCAAUCAAUUUACAUUAAUAUCUGUGACAGCCCAAUUUUCGAGCCAUGACAGGCGCAAGGGACCAAUGGGCUUAGCCCACCAAGCCCAAGCAAGCCUACUUACAUGAUCUUAUACGUUAACCCAUAUUCCUUUAGAAUUUGAAAUUUAUAAUGCUCAAUUAUAAUUCUUUUGAAAACAACUCAUAAAACCCAGUCAUGUAUUCAUAAUGGCAUCAUCAACCAUUAUAUACAUACAUAUAAUUUGACAAAUGAAUCUCAGCAUUUCACAACAAGUAGUCAUAUACAUGUAAUUGGAACUUGGCCGUCAGUGGAGUGACUCUCAGCAUAGUUACUAACAUUUAAUGUCAUGGUAAACCUACCGAGCAAUGGAUAGGAAGGAAUACCUCGUCCUAGAAUCCAAUCACCUUUGACUCUAACAACCUAAAACAUGAAGUUUAAAAAGUGAGUAUAAACUCGGUGAGUGAACAUAGGAAUGGAACAAGCAAUGAUAAGGAAUUGUUUAGGAAACAUGAUGCAUUUAUUUGAAAACAAUGCCAUUUAGUUCAAGUUCUUAUUAAAAUCCCUCCAUUAAACCUUUGAUUGUAAAAACAUUUAAUGAUGAAAGAAUCGUAUUCAGCAUGAAAUUGGAAAGAAAGGAAAUUUUCAGCAAUUAACCAAGCAAGGCAGUAUAAACAGAAUGUUUCUCGUCAUUCAUUUCAAUCACAUAUUAUAAUCAUAAACUUUUUAUCACAUAUACCUAUAUAAACAUAUAUAAACAUGUCCACCACCCCCACUUCAUUCAUCGUCAUAGCCAAGUCAUCAUCAUUAUCAGCUUAUGCGCACUCCCUACUCGCACAUAGUCUGAUCAGCAUCGGCUUAUGCGCACUCCCACUCUCACAUAGCCAGGUCAGCAUCGGCUUAUGCGCACUCCUACUAGCACAUAGCUAGGUCAGCAUUAGCUUAUGUGCACUCCCUACUCGCACAUAGCCGAGUCAAUAUCAUCACACAACAUUAUUCAUCAAUGCACAACAUAUAUUCAUAUAUAUACAUACCAACAUGAUAUAAGAGCACAUGGAUUUAUCCUUUCGCACAUUUCACAUUUUCACAACAUCAAAACAUUUUAUCAAUGGCUUGUUCCCCGGCACACAUUUUUAAAGAAAAGUUGGAUAAAAUCAUUCAAAUGUUUCAUCCAAAAACAAUUACACUUCCCAAAGAAUUUUGAAAUGCAAGUUCACUCACCUGGCAACAACGAGAUAUUAAGUUGUUAUUUGUUCGGAGGUGUCUCUAACUAUUUUCAUUGGCCGGUCACUCGUUAUUUACUCUGUCACGCCACCACAGUACUCUAACCUUAUCUUUACACUUGCUAGCAAUAAUACGAACUCAAUAUAUUUAAUUACAUAUGUAUACGGGCAGCACUUCAAUCAAUUAAUCCUUACUCAAAUUUAUAUUUUUUAUCCUACCAUGAAACCAUCUUCAAUUAACUCACAUCUUAAUACAUUUUUACUAAAAUUACAUAUGUCAGUUGCUUACGUAAUUCCUUAUUUUAUAUCUCCGACAACUUAUUUAUGAUGUCACAUGCCUACUUCAACCUUUCUAAACAAUUUUCGCCCAAAUCCAUCUUAUAUUUCCACAGUAUUAACUAUAUUUACGGCAACCACCGUCAUUUCAAAUCUAUCCAAUUAUUUUUCAAUUUCAAUCCAAAUUAUUUCUCCUUAUUUCUUCCAAAUAUUAUACCACUCAACUUAACACUUUCAACUAAAUUAUGCCAAUAAAUUCCUCCGACAACAAUAAUUCUUCACAACAAAUCAUUUAAAAUUUCUUAACUUCACUUGAGCACUAUUCAUCAAUUUCAUAUUUUCUUCAUUACUUUAGUCCUACGACACAUCCUAAUACAAUUUUUAAAUAUUGUAUUAAAGUAGUUUAAAUUUAAUUCAUAUCACUAAUAACCAAAAUUUAACUAAACAAGUGGGCUAACCCCAAAUAAUCCAACUUCAUAACAAGCCCAAUAAAAGCAAGGAAGUUUUUACCUAUUUGGGCUAGGUUAGCCCAAACCCAAGUCUCCACCUUUAUUUUAUUUUGGACUUUUCUUUCUUUGUUGCUAUUGGGCCUUUUCCAUGAGCUCUUCCUAUUUCUUCCUAUUGGGCCAUGCCCAUUCUUUUCUUAUUGGGCUAUGCCCACUCUCUCUUCUUCUUUUUUUCCUCAUCUAUAUCUCAUUUUACCUCUAUUUUGAAUUUUCUUCAUUCCCAUCUACCAACUCCCAAUUCUUCCUUUUUUCUUAUAAUUUUAUUAUUUAUUUUAUUUCCUCUAAAUAUUAAAAUUUCAUGUAUAAAUCUUUCAACUUUCCUCUCUUACAAUUUGACCCUUCCGACACAAUUUAAAUUCUAAUUUCUAUCUAUCUUUCUUCUUUUACAUGUGUACAACCAAAAUAUCAAAGUUGUACUCCAACACGGUAUCACCAUAAUAUUUAAAAUAUUUAUUUACGCGCGCUAUCUUACCUAAUAAAGACACGCGGCCUUGUUAACGUCAUUUUUUCUCCAAAAUGUUCUCAUCUCCUUUUGUCUCCUUGGUACCCAAAAUACCUUAUUAUGCCUCAAUUCACUUUCGAAUCACUUUUUAUCUCAUAAAUUUUUCUCUGAUAAGAUAUUAUUAUUUUCUCGCGUGCGAAAUAUUUUAUCCCAACUGUUCCUUUCAUCUUUCAUCACUUUUAAACAUUAUAAUUAACCUCAAUUGGCAUCCAAUAAGCUUUAUUAGUCACCACAUCAAGUACAUGGUAUUACAAUAUCGCUCCAAAAGUUGUUUCCCAAAUCAAGCUUUAAUAGGCCUUCCUAUCUACCUUCCAAUUACCAUUUGAUUGGCUAUUCAGUUUCUCUUCAUUAGUAACACUAGAAAUAGAUAAACAACUUCAGCAAUAACACAACUCAUAACUUCAAUUACUAGCCAUUAUCAACAACUUAAAACCAAUCUUAAUUCAUCACUCACUUUGGUGGAUUGUAAUGAAAUUCCUCUCCAAGAGUCCUCAAGCUAUCAUGAAAUCUCUCCCUCUCUCUCUCUACAUAGUUCAAUUGGUGAGAGAAAGUAUUGAAGAAAGACUUUUAAGGGUUUGUUUAAGGUGAGGGAGUAAAAGAGUAUGAAAAACCUUGCAACAGGGUGUGUAAAGCACGAAGAUUAAGGUUAGUUUGAGAGAGUGAUGGAAGCUUGAGAGAAGCUUUCAUGGAAGAGGAGAGAAACAUGAGAGUGGAGGAAGAAGAAGAAGUUGCUAGAGAAAUGAAGAAGCUGCUGAAAGAAUGAGAUCCUUAUAAUUAAAGUUUAUCCAACUUUACUUAAUUAUCGAAAUACCCCUAACAAGGCCACUUGUAUUCCUCCCUUCCCAUAUGCAGUCUUUUCACUCUUUUAACCCAAAGACAAGGUCCAUAAUAGUCUAAAAGUACUCGAGUUCACAAAAAUUAAAAUAUUUGACUCGGGGUGCAAAAUGACCAUUUUGCCCCUAUUGUGAAAAUUAUUGUCACUUCUAGUUUUCUUCAUGUUUCCAUCAUUAUACAUCAUUCAUUUUGUCCUUACGCCCAUGUAGACCUUAAAAAAUAUUAAAAAACCUUAUUCUGAGAGAUUAUUAGAGGAAAUGAUGAAAUUACCCUUAGUCCGUGUUAUCUCAUCUACUUCUAAUUACAAGUCUACAGAGAUCGAGGUCUCACAAGCAUAAUCCACCACCUUCUAGUGAUCUUGAUUUUGAGGUUAGACUGCACGUAGCACUCUCUAGUUCACACCUCUAUUUUUUACCAUGGCAACUUCAACCAUACUGGUGGAAAACUUUUAAAGUGGUAAAAGUUGUCUUAUGGCCAUAUUUAGAUUUUUAGUACAUUUAUAGGAGAAUUCAAGGUAAUGAAACAAAGCCUCAAGCAUUUUUACGAUGAUGAAGAAGUGAAAAAAUGAGUAUCAUAGUCAAGCUAGUGACUAUAAAAAGGCAUUUCUCAAGAGGCAACCCAAGCUAUAUCUUUUUAAGUUUAGUUGCUAUUUUAGUUAGUUUUUAUUUUAUUAUAUUUAAAUAAGUAGCUAUAACAUUUACCUAGCUUGUUUUGCUAAGUAUGAAAGUUUGGAAAACAUGAAGAUAAGGAGAAAGAAAGUUCGAGCUUUCAAUGCACUGUCACCAUUGAUAGGGGAGCUUUUUUGCUUAUUCUUUUUAGCUUUUCACAUUGAAGACAAUGUGCAAUUUAAGUUUGGGGGAGGGUUUUAUUAUUAUUUGUUUUUGUGAUAUUUUAGAUUAGUUUAUUUUCAUUAAAUUUUUUUUUAAAUUUUAUGCAUGUUUUAAAAACUUGAGCUAAAUUUAUUUGUGCCAAUUUCUUUUAAUUGACCUAUCCAAUGAUGAGAACCUAAUUAUAUUCCUAUCUUGAUUCUUUGAAACAUGUGGAUAUUGUUUGAGUAUUAUUUAAAUUUUUACACUAAGCUUCAUUGUUAGGAUGAGAUUUCCACUCAAUUUAAACACCAUAUCUUUUGUUUAAAUUAAGUAUGCAUAUCUAGAGAAGAUUUAUGUGAGUGUAAAAAUUUUGAAUUAUGUUUUAAGUUCUAGAAUUUGUUUGAUUUUCUCUCGAGGUAAAAUCCUAGGCUAUACAUGUUGGUCCCAAUAAUAUGUGCUAGAGGGGAGGUGAAUAGCAUAAAUCAGCUCUUGACAAGAUGAGGAACUAAUUUCUAGCAUAAAGAAAAUAAAAACAGAGUAGACAAUGCACAGAAAUUUAUAGAGGUUCGGUCCAAGAUCUACAUCCACUACCUUGAUUAUCCAACCGAGGAUUUUCCCAACAAUUUCACUAAUAACCGGUGAAAUUCACAAGCUUUCACCAAGCUUUACAAUGGCUUUUACAAGGCUCAGCCAAAACCUUUUACACUAGUUUUUUACAAGCUAAACUAAAACCUAAAGUGGUUUCUCAAAGGCUCAACCACAACCUUUCACAAUGGUUUUUCACGAGCUCAACAAAAACCCAAAGUGGUUUUUUCAAAGGCUCAACCACAACCUACAACAAUGAUUUUUACCAGGAUCAACCAAAACCCAACAACAAAUUUUUCUAGACUAAGUUGGAACCUUUACACUCAAUGAAGCUAAUACCCCAUACUUUGAUGUGGUGACUACUCAAGCUUAUCGGAUGCCAAUUGAGGUUAAUUAUAAUGUUUAAAAGCGAUAAAAGAUGAAAGGAAUAGUUUGGGAUAAAAUAUUCCGCACGUUAGGAAAUAAUAACAAAAUAAUAAUAUUUUUAUCGGAUAAAAACUUACAAGAUCAAAAGUGAUUUGGAAGUGAAUUGAGGCAUAAUAAGGUAUUUUGGGUACCAAUGAGACAAGAGGAAAUUUUUGAACUAAAAUAAUAUUUCAUUAAUAAAAUAAUAUAAAAAUAUUAAUAUUUUAUUCAAUAUCAAAAGUUUUCCUGAAGGAGUAUGUGGUCAAUCUAAGUGGGGGAGAAGAAGAAUGAGAAAAAUUUCAGAGAAAAAUGACGUUAAUGGGGUCACGUGUCUUUAUUAAGUAAAGAUAGUGUGAGUAAAUAAAUAUUUUAAACAUUAUGGGGACACCGCGUUGGAGUAUAAAUUUUAUACCUUAUUUGUACAUGUGUAGAAGAAGAUAAUAAAAGGAAAUUGGAGUUAAAUGAGUGUUGGGAGGAUUAAAUUAAAAAGGGAAAAACUUAGAGGGUAAAACGGUAAUUUCGUACAAAAUUUGGUCAAAGCUUUCAAAGGAAGCUUUGACUCUCUCAUGUUUUUUUUUGUCCUUCAUGGUCGGCCAUUUCAUGUUGAAAUGUUGAAAUGUAAGGCAUGCCUAAGCCAACCAAUGAAGAUGGCGUUAAUAACAAUGACAAAAGAAGACAAAAUUUGCAUAAAAAGGUCAUAUUUUAUUCAAGCCACCUAGGGACCAACGGCAACUCUUUUUUUCAAGAAAGGGGUGCAUAUUUUUUUUAUCCUUCUUUGGGAUAAACGGCAGCCCAUAUUUGUAGCCACUUGACAUGCAAAGAGUGCAUGCUUAUCUAGACUCCAUUGAUAUCAACAGAAAGGAGAGGAAAGAUUUUUUUUAAGAAUUUUGGUUUAGAUUGUAAAGGGAAGCUUAGGUUUUGGGGAGUCACUGGCUGCGAGGAAUAGAGAGGAGAGGAAGCCAUUGGCAGAAGAAGAAAGAAAGGAAAAAGAAAGAGAAAAAGGAUAAAGCUAAAAAAAAAGGAAAGAAAGAAAAUAUAUAUGUACAAAAGGAGAGAGGUAAGAGUUUAAUUUUUUUAGUUCCAGUUUGGGUAUUUUCUAGACGGGAAAGGUUUGAUCUUUUGGAGCUGGUAGAGGAAGUGAGAGCUCGAGUUAUUUGGGUAGCAAUGAGGAGAACCGGUUUAGGCAAACAAAAGAGAGAGUUGGGUUUUGGUGCUAAUCGGUAAAAAGGGAAAUUCAAUCGGGAGGUCGGUUAGCAAGGGAAAAAAGAAGAGAAAAUUUUGAGGUUAAAGGGAAGGGAAAGGAAGUCGACUGUAGAGAGAGAGAGAGAAAUGGUGAGAAAGUAUAAAAAAAAAAACAAAGAGGAGAGAGUGGGCAUAGCCCAAUAAGAAAGAAUGGGCAUGGCCUAAUAGGAAGAAAUAGGAAGAGCCCAUGAAAAGGGCCCCAUGGCAACAAAGAAAGAAAAGUCCAAAAGAGAAUAAAGGUGGAGACUUGGGCUUGGGCCAACCUUGCCCAAAUAGGUAAAAGUUUCUUUGCUUUUAUUGGGCUUGUUAUGAAGUUGGACUAUUUGGGGCUAGCACACUUGUUUAGUUAAAUCUUGGUUAUUAGUGAUAUGAAUUAAAUUUAAAUUACUUUAAUAUAAUAUUUAAAAAUUCUUUUAUGAUGUCUCAUAGGACAAAGCAAAGAAGAAAAUAGGAAAUUGAUGAAUAGUACUCAAGUGCAAUUAAGAAAUUUUAAAUGAUUCGUUGCGAAGACUUAUUGUUGUCGGAGGAAUUUAUUUGCACAAGUUAGUUGAAAUGUUAAGUUGAAUGGUAUAAUAUUUGAAAGAAAUAAGGAAGAAUAAUGUGGAUUGAAAUUGGAAAAUAAUUGGAUAGAUUUGAAAUAACUGUGGUUAUCGUAAAUAUAAUUAAUAUUGUGGAAAUAUAAGAUGGAUUUGGGCAAAAAUUAUUUAGAAAGGUUGAAGUAGGCACAUAACAUCAUAAAUAAGUUACCGGUGAUAUAAUCUAACGAAUUACAUAAGCAACGAAUAUAAGUAAUUUGAGUAAAAAUGUAUUAAGAUGUGAGUUAAUUGAAUAUGGUUUCAUAAUAGGGUGAAAAAUAUAAAUUUGAGUAAGGAUUAAUUGAUUGAAGUGUCACGACCCAAUUUCCCAAGCCAUGACCGACGCAUGAGCUCCAUGAGCAUAGCUCACUAAGCCCAAGCAAGCCUAUCCAUUUACCUUUGCUUAACAAAUUUAUCAUAUCAUGCAUACACACACACCUUUUUCCGGGUGUGAACAUAGCCAAAACACAAUGGCAUUAUCGAUAAUAAUAUGCAUGCACUAUGUCAGUCAUGUAUUUAGCAAUUUACAUUGCAUACACAUAUUCACAUUGUUAGAUUGUAUUCACAAUACAAAAGGACUCAUGACUUCUAGUGGAGACAUUUAUAAUAAAAGGGAUUACUAUCGAAUGCCAGACACAUACCUAGGAGAUGCACUAUGGGGACUCCUCGAUCUAGGGUCCAACAGUCACCUGAUCUGAAAACAUGAAUUUUUAUAAAACGUGAGUACAAUACUCAGUGAGUGAACAAGAAAGGAACAAGCAUACCAUAAGGAAUGUUUAUCGAAAUCAUGAUGCAUUCAUUUUCUCAAAACCAUGUAAUUGUUUUAGCUCCUUUAAACCCUUCAUGUAAACCCCACAUGAGUAAAUCACUUUAAAAAAUCCAUGCUCAACUAUGGUACCAAAGAAAUGGGAAAUAUGGGCAAAACCCACAAGUUAGCAAAAUGGACAGAAAGUUUCUCGCUGUAGCGAGAACCAGUUCUGGUGAAGGCCCUAAAACCCGAGAGUUUCUCACUGUAGCGAGAAUGAAUUUCGCUGCAGCGAAACAGAGCAACAAGAGAAAAGUUUCCCUUCAUUCAACAAAAAGGCCAUCCUACUAAACUAACAAAAUCAACAUAAAACUCAUGAAAAUUCCCAAAGUGCAAUGUAUCAAAUUUCACAUAUAUGUUAACCAUAUAACACAUUCAUGAGCUUUCAUUUCAUAAGUCUAGAUAUGCAUAAUUAGAUAGACAAACAUCAAUAUCAUCAUAAUCACACCCGGCUCAUGUACAUCCCCCCACAUCGUGCACAUAGCCGGCACCAUCGUGUGCAUCCCCCCACAUCGUGCACAAUCAGUGCCAUCGUGUACAUCCCCCCACAUUGGGCACACGGGCACUAUCAUCAUCCAUCUCUCACGCCACCAUCAUCACCGGCAUGUGCAUCCCCCCACAUCGUGCACACACAUGGUUAUAGUCAUUAUACACAAUAUCAUUCAUCAUGCACAACACACAUAUAUAUAUAUCAUCAUAUUGCAAUAAUGCAUGAAUCCAUAGCAAUCACAUAUCACAACAUCAAACCAUUUAAGAAAAGCUUGUUCCCAAGGUACAUUUUCUAAGACAAGUUGGAUAGAAUCUUUCAUAUUCCCCAAAACAAGUUUGAAAUGCAAGUCCACUCACCGGUAUCGAAAAUUCAGAUUUCGGGUGCACUUGGACUAAUAGUCCUCAAGCGCAAUUCCUUUGCUUUUUCCGGACGUCUCACUACCUUGACAAAUAACAAAGUCGAGGAAUUUACUAUAUUGUCCCUAAAUUGAUAUAAACUAAUUUAAAUUACUAAUGCUUGAUAUGUAAAUGCAAAAAUACGUCCGAUUACCGCUUAAUCGCGGUAUCGAUUAAAUUCGACCGAUCACCCGAUUAAUCGGCGAUUGUGUCCAAAUCACCUCCAAAUUAAUUCAUUUCUCCUCUAAUACCUUAAUUUACCACAUACCAUUUAAAUAAAGCCAAAUUCAGCAUUAGAACCCUCACAGUUCCUUAUAGAAAAAUUUGGUCAUUUGGUGCACUAACAUCGAAUUUUUUUCUACAUAACCGUUUCACCUUAAUUCAUCAUUUUCCAAGCCAUUUUCCUUGAAAUAAAAACAAUCCCCCAUUGAUAUUCAGCCCUCAUGGUUCGACCAACAAGGAACCCUAGAGAAAUUGAAUAUUUCUUUUGUGUUUUUGUUCAUAACCAUGCUUAACUAUCCCUAAACACUAACAUAGUCUAAAAUCAAAUUAUUCCAACAACAAUUCCUCUUCCAUACCCAUUUUUCAGAAUUGAAUUCAUCAUGAUAACUCAAUAUUCAACCAUGGAAAUCAAGAACAAAAGCAUGGGUAAGCUAGGUAUCAAGGAGAAUUAAAGAAAUUUUAACUUACCUAGCUUGUUUCCUUGAUUUCUUCACUUUUUCUUUGAAUUUCCACCUAGGUUUUCUUGUUUUUCCUUUUGUUCUUCCUUUUUUCUUGUUGCUGGAUGCCUAGGCCGAAUAUGGUGAGGGAAUUGGGGAUUUAAUGGGCUGAUUUCUAUAGAAAAUAAUAAAAUAAUCAAGUAUGCCACGUGUCACAUGCUUAUUGGCCCAAAUUUUUAACUUUUUGACUUUUUCUUCUUAAUUUUCCACCACAAAUAUUCUAGUAUUUAUCCAAUCCUACCACAAUUAAAAUUCCUUGGUUUUGACAAGUGCUGGGGUGAAACAUUUACUGAUUUGCCCUUGGAAAGAAAAAAUUACGAUUUUACCCCUAUACUCUGAAAUUUACCGAAAUCACAUUAUUUUUACUUUUCAACCUUCAAUAACACUAAUAUUGAUCAAUAUUAACCAAAUGGGGCAAAAUUUGUUUUAUAAAAAUUUUCGUUUAGUCCUCUAGUGGCCAAAUUACCAUUUUACCCUUGUGCUCCAAAAAUACCGAGAAUCACAAUUUUUCACUACUAAACAUCAUUUUAUACUCCAAUAAUCAUAAUUAUAUUUCAUACAAUUAUUCUUGGUCAAAUGUGAUCAAAUCUUGGCUAAAAAUCUCCAUUUUAUCAACAAAUGGUAAAAUGACCGUUUUAUCCUUAAUCGGUCAAUUUUCUUGAUGGACUCCAAACUGGACCUUGAACUCCAAAUCACUAUUCUAAGCCAUUCUGUGGGUUUCAAAAUUUUCAAAUUCCUCUCAAAUUUUCUAUUUGAACUAGUUUAAGGCUCGAUUUAACUUAGUUGUACCACUUAGUACAAUACCGUCUUUUAAUCGAGCUUGACAGGGUCUCACAUGAAGUGCUGCCCGUAUACGUAUAUAAUUAAAAAUUUUGAGUUUGUAAGGAAAUGCAAAGGUAAGGUUAGAGCAAUAUGGUGGCGUGUCAAAGUAAAUAACGAGCGAUCAGCUAGUGAAAAUAGUUAGAGACACUUCCGAACAAAUAACUACUUAAAAUCUCAUUGUUGCUAGGUGAGUGAACUUACAUUAAAAUAUUUUGGGAUAUACAUAGUUAUGUUUGAUUGAAUCCUCUAAAAUGUUUUAGUGGUUUUCCUUCAAAAACUCGCACGGGAACAAGCCUUUAUGAAAUGUUUUUAUGUUAUGAAAUGGAUAGUGUGAUGAAUCCAUGUGUUUCUAUAUAAUAUUGAUGCAUAUAUAUAUAUAUACUAUGUCAUAAAUUAUACAUUGUGUGACAAAAUGCAACCGUGCAUGUGCGGGGUGAGUGCGCACGUGCCGGUGAUGACGAUGGUGAGGGAGAUGAAUGAUGAUAUUGCUUGUGCACGAUGUGGGGGGAUGCACACGAUGACUCUGGCUAUGUGCACGAUGUGGGGGGAUGCAUAUGAGCUAGGUGAGACGGGGUAUCCGACUAUGUGCACGAUGUGGGGGGAUGCACAUGAGCUGGGUGAGAUGGGGUGUCCGGCUAUGUGCACAAUGUGGAGGGAUGUACAUGAGCUGGGUGAGAUGGUGGUGUAUGUGCUUAUAUAUAUAUUUACUAUAUAGAGAUGUUUGGAUACAAUAUGUGAUUGCAUUGUCUAUUGAAAACUUGAGUAUUGUCAAUGUGUUCAAUUUAAUGUUCAAUGUGGCAUGAGUGUGGAUUUUUCCGGUGGUAGUGAAAGCCCCUUGGAUUUUAUUUGGCCAGAAUUUCGUUGCAGCGAGAAUGCUUUUUUGCUGCAGAGAGAGUCAAUCUAUUAUGCUUGACUUGCUUGAAUUUUACUAAAGUUUUCACUUCUUAACUUUUUUGUUAUUCAUGAGUCUUUCGUCAUCAAGUGACUAAAUGACUAAGGGUUUGAAUGAGGGGUUUUUAAAUAGAAAUAAACUAAAUUGCAUUGUUUUGAACUUAAGUGCAUCAGGAUUUCUAAACCUUCCUUAACGUUGCUUGUUCCCUUCUUAUGUUCACUCACUGAGUUUAUACUCACGUUUUCAACUUCAUGUUUUCAAAUUCAGGGGUGGUUGGAACGUAGAUUGAGGUGCCCAUGUACACCCAUUUUUCGGUAGGUAUCCUGGUAUUCAGUAGUCAUAUUCCCCAUCCAAAGUCACUCCGCUGACGGUAUAGGUCUUUGUAUAUGCUCAAUGUGAAUUGAUAAAAUACAUUGCAUAGACUAUCUAUGUAUAUUUCGAACUAUGAUGCCAAUGUGAGCAUCCACUUGGGUUCUAUGAAUUGCAUUUGAAGAAAUUGACAUUUGAACACUAUUAAGUAUAGAUCUUAGAGAAAUAUGAUAGAUAGAUGGACUAAUAUACAAGUGCAUAUAGAGAGACGCUUGCUUAGGCCUAGUGGGCUGUGCCUAUUGGGUCCUUGCGCCAGUCAUGGCUCGAAAAUUGGGCUGUGACAAACUUGGUAUCAGAGCUCUAGGUUUAACUAAGUCCUAAGAUUCUUUGUGUUUGUUAGCGGAGUUGUUAGAGUUAGUGUAGAGUUCUGUUCUUGGUUUGUGGGUGCGCAACACGAAUCAAGGAAAUGAGGCUACAUGAACUCUUUUUCAUCUAGAAACCUACCUUUGUCUUAGUACUACAAGGUUAAGAAUUAAUGCUCAUUUGUAUACAGGUUUGAGGUGCCUCUGUGACACAACAUGAGCAGCGGCGGUAAGAAACUGGAAAGGUCCCCUAAUGUUGAAAAAGGAUAGACGGACUCCACUGCUUGGAGUCAUUACGAGCUAAAGGUUGAAAGCGUGGCUAGUAAUCCACUCUGACUUUCUAAUGAACAGGUCCCACUAGGAGUGGAAAUAGUGUCUUGUAAAGGGAAAGGUCUCGAAAGUAGUGAAAGCCUUGCAAUUAAGAAUAGCUCUGGUACUUUGGGAUACGUGAACAAAUUACUGCAGGAAUGGUAUAAGAAAAAGACAGAAGAGAAAAUUGCAAAAAGAGAUAUUUGUCUUAGGAAGGUAUCCGUUGUUCGACACUUUCCUCCUGGAUGUGGAAUAAGCGUCGUACCUGUGAGUAGUGAUGAAUGCAGGAGAAUACAGCAAGCUUGGAUUGAGGAAAAAAUGAGAAAAUCUUAAGAGGAAGAGAAAGACCCUGAAGAGGAUCCGUCGAUGUGCCCAGAUCAAGGUGACGAGGAUCCUAAAGACACUUAAUAUUUUCGUUGAAGUUCGUAUCACUUUAAGUCUAGGCAGAUGCGGUGUAAGAAUAAUAAUAGUAGUUAUAUGUACAAAGGAGUUGAGAGUUAGCUUUUAUUUCGUAUGACUCAAACGGAUUAUAAAGCAGCUGUUUAAAUGACUGGAUGUGUAUGGGAAUCUUUUGGGUAUGACAGAGGUAAACUAGCAAUAUAAUUAUCGAGAAAGGAUAUUCACCUUAGUGGCGUGGUUGGUUGCCUUAGAUAAUUAUUAAGGAUUGACGUAGAAAGUUAUUAAUGGUACAAACAACUACGAAACCUGAUAAAUGAUUACUGGUUAAUCGUGGAAAGGUGGAAAUUGAAAUCCCAGUUACAGUUACAAUUCGGAAGGAUAUGGGAGAAAUCAAUGAGGGUAUAGGUGAUGUUUGGAAUGGAUGAUGUGAUUAAAUUCAAGGAUUAUAAAAUUUAAGUAUGGAGGGAACUACAAAAUGAUGUCAUGAUAUUAUAAGAUGAUAAUUGGGCACAAAUAUAGACUAAGGGAGACAAAUUGUGGAACUUGGGAGAAGGUGAAUCCUUGAUUUAAUAAAUAUUAUGAAUGUAGAGCGUGGAGAAAGAUGAACUAUUUUCAUGGUCAUUUUAUACUGAAAGUCAACAAAACUAUUUGAGUUACAAGACAAGAAAGACAAUUAAUUGUGAAUGUUAAGAAAUUGUGGAAUGUCAUACAUGGUGAAAAAAAUUUUGUGUGUGCUAUUAUAUGUUGAGAAUUUGCUGCACAAUAUGGAAAGAUUGUCCUAAGGUGAGACUUAUUGGUUGAAGAUAGGUGUUAAAGGAUAAAAUGAGUUUGAAAAAUAUUGACUUAGCUAAAUGGGGAGGGUUAGUAAAACCACAAGGCCAAUUGUGUGGCACACUGGAAAUCUAUGAAGAUGAAUUGGGGAUUGAAUGGACGAGUAUUUAUUUAUAUAUCUUUAAGAAUAGGUGCAUGUCUAUAGAACGAUAUGCUUGGGAUGUUAAGGAGUAAAUAAGAGACUAAGUGUUUCAAGAAUGCACAAAUAUCUUCGAGAAGGAAUUACUAAUCAUACACGGCAAGUAUAAAAUGUGGGAUUUUUAAAACUUACUGAGGAGCCUAAUGGCUAAGUCACGAGUUAAGUAAUCACAUGUGGUGAGACAUGAGUUUAAGAUAGGUAUCCCCAAGGAAAUACUCAAGAGGAGUUUUGCUAUGGAUCUUGUGAAAGCAAGCAUUAAGUUAUGUGGUUAUAAAGGGAAAGCCGUUAGCUGAAAGUGAGGUUCGUAUUGACAUUAAAAAGUACUUGAGGAGGACCUCGUUUUAAGUCUUACAAUUUCAAGUACAAACUGCAGAUUGGUCUAGGGGGAAUGAUGUCACAUUAGUAUGGAAGAAUGGAACAAAGGAUGAUUGAAGAUAAUCUGGAUAAUGAAGUCCAAUAAUGAAAACUUCUUAAUGUAGUAUGGAAAUUGAAAUUCGAAAAUGCUUGAGGCAUGCACGAUUCAAAUGAGUCUAAGUUUUAGGUGACUCAUUAAAGUCGAAAUGCAACAAGGAUAAUAUAUAUAUAUAUAUAGGUUAGAGGUAUGAAGAAUAAUUGAGAAAUAAGGAUGACUUUAGGGAUUGUGGUAUUGCAUAACAUGCAAUGAUCUAAUAAAGAUGAACCCACCCUUGAGAGAUCAACAAGAUUAUAAAGCAUAUGCGGAUACUAAACUGCAAUUUAAUGAAAAUGACAUUUAGUAAGUGAGAUGUGAUUAAUGACAUUAUGAUGCACGGAUAUAUAGUAUGAUGAAACUCAAGCAUAUAACUGGAAAUGAUAUAAACGAUAUCAAGUUAUGUGUAGGCAUAACAAGAAUGUUGACAUGCACUAUGAGGAUUUUUAUAUUGAAUCUUGAAUAGGGAUGGGGAUGAAUAAAGGGAAACGUAGUCCAAGGCACGCGAACACAUGGAUCCCUAUUCCUAACGAGGAACGUUGACAUUUGAAAAUGCAUGUACAUACCGUUCAUGUGAAAUUGAUGACUUGAUCAACUGAGGUGAAAAAUUGUUCUCAAUAAUUUGAGAUUUGAACUUUAUGUAUUUGAUGAGUUGCAUACAUGGUAUAACAACAAGAAGUCCCAUUAGAAGUUGAACUAUGAUGAUAUAAGAAAUUUUGGAAAAUAGUCAGAGGAUUGAGACUAAAGAAUGCUAUGAAUAAUCGAAGUAUGUGGCGUAAAUGCAAGAUAAACCUGAAGUAUGUGGGAAUAUGUUAAGACCCGGAACUACCAUCGAGCCCGUGACAACCGCUGCGACGUCCCGAUAGGCAUUCAUUACCCGGAAUGUCAAUCAAAACCUUGCAAGGCUUAACAUCGGUUUUUCUCGCUUCCU
rnacentral:lncRNA from 1 species